rnacentral:lncRNA from 1 species
UUUUUAUUUAUUUUUUUCUUUCUAAUCUUUAAGGGGGAUAACGAAAGUUAUCCCUACUAUUCCGCCAAAUGGGAUCAUUUUUUACUGGGAUAUUUUAUUCCGGUAAAAACUUGCUAUUCCCGGUUAUCCCGGAAUAGCAAGCUUUUUACUAUUCCACCAUUUUGGUAGAAUAGUGCUAUUCCCAUGCUUAAUUUCAAACUUAAUUAAAAUUAUAAAAUAAAUUAAAACUAAAUUAUAUAAAUAUAAUAUAUUAUAUAUUAUAAUACAUUAUUUUUAUUAUAAAAUUAUUAAUUGUGCUAUAUUAAUACAUAUUAUUUAUAUUUAAAUAUUAUAAUAAAUUUUAUAAUAAAUUAUAUUUAAAUAUUAAAAUAAAUUAAAAUUUAAAAUUUAAAUAAAUUUAAAAUUUAAAAUAUUAUAAUAAAUUAUAUUUAAAAUUUAAAAUUUGUAAUCUCAAAAUUAAAGUUUAUAAUUUUAAAUUCCACAUUUUAAAUUUUAAAUUUAAAUUUUGAAAUUUUAAAUUUUUGAAAUUUUAAAUUUGAAUUUUAUUUUUUUUCAAAUUUAAAUUUGAUCUUAAAUUUAAAGUUAGAAAUUUAAAAUUUAAAUUUUGAAUUUAAAAUUUGAGAUUUUAAAUUUUAAAUUUUAAUUUCAAAAUUUGAAAUUUAAAAGUUAAAAUUUUAAAUUUUAAAAUAUAAAUAUAAAAUAUAAAAAUUUAAAUUCUAAUAUAAAUAAAAAAGUGAUAAUAUUAUUAAUUUUUAUUUAUAACUACCCACUUUAAAUCUUAUUCUAUCUUACCUAACCAAACGUUAUUUUUCUUAUUCCCAGAAAUAACCCAAUUUUCAUCCAAACGCAAAAUCAAUCUAAUCCUCGUUUAUACUUCAAUUUAUACCUAUCCCUGGAAUACCCACUUUUUGCUUAUCCCCGAACCAAACGAUACCUAAGAAUCUAUAGUUUGCCCCUUAAGAAUUUCAAAAAUAUUUCAAAAUAAAAAGGCAUUAAUGAAACGAGUAAAAUAACCAAAUUAAUCUUACUUCUUUUAUAAAGAAAAAAUAACUUUUUAAUAUAUUUCUUUCAUUUUGAAAAAAAAUUUUCGUAUAAACUAUAAAAAAUAAACGAAAUAGUAAUAGAACUCUUAUGAAGAGAGAACUCUUAUGAAGGGAGAUUAAAUACAGUAAUAUUAAAAUAUAAAUUUUUAAAAAUAGAAAGAAAAGAUGAAAAAAUAAGUAUUUAUAAGAAAAUUUUCUAGAAUUUAUUGGCAAAAUAGAUAAUGNAAAAAAAAAAAAAAAAAGAGAGAGAGAAAAAAAAAAAGAAGAUAUUUUAUCUAAUUUAACAAAUCUACAAAAAAUGGUCUAAUAUUGUAAAAAUAUAAAAUAGAUGGAUUCUUUUACGCAAAUUAGCCGUAAAUUAUACUGCAGAUAUAAAGUAUGAAAACAAUAUAUAUUAUUUCUUCCUUUAACCCCAUCUAAGUAUAAAAUUGUUAUAUUUCUUUCCAUUAGAAUUAAAAAAAGAAAUCCUGGAAAAAAAUGUUAUUAAUUUGCCAUGUUAGUAAAUGUAAAUCUUCCACCCCCAUCUGAGAAUUUAAAUUUCUUUUUUGAGAUUUUAAUGUUCAAAAAACUAAAUUCAUAAAGCGAGUAAGUAAACAUGAAGCUUUCGACAACUAAGAUGUAAAAUUUACACAACUUUAAAAAGAUUUCUAAAUACAAACUGGUUAAUAUCAUUGCCCGAAAACAAAUGGAGGAACGCGUAAACAAAAAUAAAUAACUAAAUAAAUAAACAAGAUGUUGAUACAUCCAAAUCCGAAACAGAAAUAGUAAUCACAGAAGCUCAAUGUGUGAUACUUGAUGAUCUGAUGCCAAACCAACAAACAAAAUCUACUUCUUACAACAGCAGCUUAAAGCACUUGAUAACACAAAAGAUAACAUGAUAGAAAAGACAUUGAGAAGAAACAGAAACAAAAGCACACAGAUUAUCAUUCUCAAUUCACAAUCAUUCUACCGUUUGGUUCGGGGUUAAAAAAAAACUAGUUAUUCCAGGAAUAGGGGAUAGGAUUAAGUUCAGAGUUAAGGUAGGAUUAGAAUAUUUUUGUGUUUGGUUGGGGGUUAGAGUUAGUCCAGAAUAGUAAAAAAUAGUGUUUGUUAGAGUAGAUGGGAUAAGAAGGAUAGUGAAUUAUUAUGAAUAGAAAAUAAUGUUUGGUUGGAAUUUUGUGGGGUUUGGUGGGAUUAGCUAACCCGGGAUAGCCCAUUUGAGGUGGGAUUAGCUAACCCCACUCAUUUUUGUUUUUUGUAGGUGUUUGGGGAUAAUAUGGGGGUUAAGGGGUUAUUCCACCCCUUAACCCCCAACCAAACAAAGGCACCAUUUGGGUUUGCAUUGUGGUCGAAAGGGUCGAGUUUGCGGUAGCAGAACCACCGCAGAUGCUAACCACAUUACUCUCGCGCACCGCACUGCACCGAUUUCGUCGACAACACAAAGAAACCAUAAGAAGUGUCAGAUUUUACAUUUGUUUGAAUAACAAGAUAACCAACUAUAUACCAACUCUAGCAAGAAUCAUGAACAAAUUGAUCUUGAGCUACAGUUCUAGAAAUUGCGGCAAUAAAUUAAACAAAAAUGGCAACAUGCAACUACUGUCCCUACGUCUUCAGAUUACAAGAAGUUUAUGAUCAAGUCUCAGAAAAAGCAGUUCUCAGAAAUGUUCCAAAUAGUCCGCAAAUACAAAUAAAGUUUCACCGUGUAAUAAAUGCCAAUUAUGUUCCAAUUACUGGUCCAAAAUCAUUGCUAUAUCGCCUAAAUCAAAGAUCCGUUCUGUUAGUUUUGAUCUAAGAAAGUUACUUCCGCGAGUUAAGCUGUCACAAAUAACAGUUAGAAUUCUUAUUCAUUUGAUGAGGCAUCUAAUUUGGAAGUCAAGUGUUCUCCACUCCAAAACCUUAAAAGCAAAAAAUAAUUUGCUAGUUAGUUUUACUGCUCACUCAGAUUAUCACCGUCGAUGCACAUCCACAAAAUUAUACUUACCUAAUUAAAAUGCACAUGUCGACACAAAGGAGCCAAUUACAAUCUUUAAGAUUGUGACAGCAAUAAACUCUUGUCUAUGCGAAGAUCCGUAGAAGAAAUUAUGAUGAGUGAUUCCUCGCAAGUUUAGCAAUAUGCAAGCAUAAGAAAUAUCACCAAGCAGGUAAAAAGAAAUAUGGAAGCAUUAUAAUGAUAAGAAUCAUAGUCGUCCCAAUCAUGCUUGAUAAAUAUGUUUCCACUACUGAUAAAACAGGAGAAUUAAUAAGACCAACCAAUCUCACCGUGUAUACAAUUUCAACAUGAAGUAAAAAAGCUGGAAACUAAUGCAUAAGCAAAUUCCCCAUACUUGCAACACAAAUGAGGUAAAAGGAUCAUACGACAGCUUUUAACCAUUCCCGUAGACACAAAUGACGAGAAAUAAUAUUGACGCUCAGAAGUAUCCGUGAAGUAAAUGUGUAGCUGAACCGUAAAAAGCAGUCAUAUGGGCCACGAUUGUUUUCACCGGAAUUUGAGAGAGGUAAAGUUAUUUAUGGCCGUAAAUCCCCACUUAUAUUGUUUGGUUCACCGUAAAUUAAAUCACAACCUGUAACUCCACUUUCCCAAAACGCUAUAACAGACUUCGCCCCGGAUGGUGCCGAAGUCAAUUACGAUAGAGAAAGGGAUAGGAAAAACAAGAAUAAAAACUUAACUGCUAUAACUUUUUUCAUCCUCUUUUGUGUUAGUGUGAAAAUUUUCAGUAAAGUAAAUAAACAGUGGGAAAAUUACAGUUCCAAAGCCAUUAACUUCCAACCUAUCAAAAUAAACAAUGGCGGAAAAAAUAUUUCACAUGAAUUGACAACCAUUUUCAACCCGAAAAUCAUUUACGGGCAAACAAACAAGCCCAUGGACGUAACCAUAUGAAGUCUCAAGAAAAAAGAAAAAGCCCUCAGAUCUCAUAGCUUUCAGAUAUUCACCGUGGCUUAAGCAGUAGUUUUUCAAAAUGAGCAUCAAUACAUAUAUGAAGAGGAGGAGAAGGUGGUGGUGGCGGUAGUGGUGGUGGUGGAGGUUGAGGAGGAAGAAAUUGGUGGCAUAAAGUGUAGGAGUGGAUGCAUAAAUGCUCAAAGAGAAAAACCAUGCGGCCACUCCAGAGUAUAUAGUUUUCCAUCAUUGGGCGCUGCACAUGCUUGUGAAAAUUGAACUGAAUAAACCUAUAUAGAAAUCAUAAUCCAGCAAAAAUUUAUGAUAUCAAACCCCGAAUAUCCAAAGCAAUGACAGCUUUUCGCUUAUCAUAUAAAUCAAACUAUUUAAGUUGGUAGCAGUCAUGAAGGAACAAGAGGGACAAAAGAAAGAAUAUAGAGACAGGCAGCUAGGUACAAAUUCAUUCGCUUCUUUGGCAUCAAAGGAUGAGCAGACAUAGAAACAAAGAGAGUAAAAUAUGCCAAAACAAAAGAAAUAGCAAAAAAAAGAGUAACAAACAUAAAUAUAAGUAGCAUUUAGACUAAGUAACAAGAACAGAAUGCAUAAACUAACAAUGUUAUAGAGAUCACUUCUUCGACCAAAGCAAAAGCAGAAACACAUAAGCAUUGAUGUUUUAACUUUGUAAGUGUAGUUAACGGAUUACAGUGAAGCGGGAGGAUGAAAUUGCGCAGAAAAAGCAUUACCAAACCACUACAAGCUUGCGUAAACAAUUCAACAUAGUAAGUCUCAGAAAUAAAAGCCCUCAGAUCUCAUAGCUUUUAAACAUUCAUCGAGACUUGGGCAAUAACUUUUUCAAAAUGAGCAUCGGCACAUUUGUGAGCGGCAGUGGCGGCGGCGGCGACGGCGACGGCGGAGGUGGAGGAGAAGGUGGUGAAAAAGGAGGAGGAAGAAGAGGAGAAUGGAUGAAUGGUGGGGAUAUUGUUGUGCUUCAAUGCUCAUAGAGAAAAACUAUGCAGUCACUCUAUAUCAUGGGUUUUCCAUCAUUGGGCAUUGCGAAGGCUUCGGCAGAGCGUGCACAUUGAGCGGAAUAAAAUUCUAAAGAAACAUAAUCCACACAAUCCUGAUAACCAACCCUAACAUCGAAAUUAAUGGCUAUAAACUCAUAAAAACACUCAUUAAUGGCUAUAAACUCAUAAAAACACUCAAAAAAGGCAGAGGGAAAAGGCAAUUUCUUCUAUACGUAAUGGCAUUAAGAGAUAUGAUACAUGCAUUUAGAUCUCAUAGCAAUAUAUAUUCGUUGAUGGAUCAAAAAAUAGUCUAUAACAUCGAGCAAUAACAUAUGCAUACAAUAAACAAAGGAAAACAACGCGAAGCAUGUUUAAUGAAGUGCAAAAUCAUAAAUGAUAGAGUGUCACAUCCUAUACAUUGUGGUUCACAAAAAAUUCAGUGUUUUCCUGCGCUACUUACUACGGAAAGUUAGCGCUCCUUACUACGGAAAGCUAUCGACGUAAAAUAAAUUCGCCCAUAACUUCAAUUUUGCAGAGAUAGUGACGAAGUGAGUUCAGUGAGAUAAAAAAAAAAUAGAUUACCAACUACAACUUUUUUUUUUCUGAGUGCGGAAAUUUUGAUAAUAGAAACAAAAAUACUAGGAUAACUACAAUUCUAAAGCGAUUGACUUUCCAUCAAACAAACAGAAGCAGAAAAAAGAUUUCCAACAUGAAAAUUAAUUACGGGCAAACAAACAGGUCACAAAAAAAGAAAACUUAUUGUUAAAAUUGCAGAAAGGCUACAAUAUGGACUAAAUUUUAUUCAUCUGAACAUCAAUGGAACCCUCAGAUCUCAUAGCUAUUUGAAUUUCAUUGAUGGCUCGAGCAAUAGAUUUUCUAAUUGAGCACUGAAUUAUGCCAUUAAUAAUCAAUUUUUAUAAAAUUGAUUCUGCUUCUGCUGCUGUUGCUGCUGCUGCUGCUAAAGAAGAUGAUGAUGAAGAUGAUGAUGAUGAUGAUGAUAGUGAGGAGGGAAAAGAGAGAGAUGGUGAAAAUUUCACACAAUGCUUCAAUGCUCAACAAGAAAAAUACCACAAAAGCCACUCCAAAUAGUUAGAGUUUCCAUCAUUGGGCAAUUUUUUACGACCUAAAUAUAUUCUACGAAUAGAUCACAAACAUGAGAGAGGAAAACAGUUUCAGAGAAAUUGUAACAACAAAUUGAAGAAAAAGAAAAGAAAAGAAAUGAGAUUAAUAGGAUUAAAUUGCUCAAGAACAACAAAUUGUAAUCAACAACACCACCGAUCUAAGUCCAAAAUAUUCAUAAUCAUCCCCCCCCAAAGAAAAAAAGAAAUAUAAAAUGGCAAAUUAGAUGCAAAAGUUAAAAAGAGAAAAUUCAAAAAAAAAUAUAAAAAUUAGAGAUCGGAUUCAUCGUAUAAUCGAAUGUGGGAGGGUGGAGAACGAUUGAUUGAUUAAGCAUGCGGCGGGUUUAGGGUUAGGGCAAAAAAGGUGCUCCAUUUAAAGAUGUUAAGCUUCUUAAAAAAAGAACCUCAUCUUUUCAUGAAAUAUCUAAAAUGCCAUCGUGCGUGAAAAUUAGCCCAUGCUUUAAAAUUCGGUUAAAUAGUAACUCAAAAAUAUUAUUGGAUUAAUAGUGACUGAGUGGGACGUUAUAAAUAUAAUAUUUAAUUAUUUAAUAUUAGUAUAUAUAUAUAUAUAUAUAUAUAUAGAUAUAUUAUUUUAGUAUUAUAUUUAAUUAUAAACUAUUAAAUUUUAGAUCAAAUUAAAUAUAUAUAAAUUUUUAAAUUUUACUUUUUAUAAAACUAAUGUGCUGAUAAAAAAAAUCAGGUUAAUUGAUUUUAGACUAUUAAAUUUUAAUACGACUUUAUAAAAAGAUUCAACCGGUUUGAUUGAAAUUAGACAGGAUUAUUGGUCCAAUAGUUGAAUCACUGAUUCGAAUAGUUUAAAACUGUUUUUUGAAUUAUUCGAUUCAUAGGAUUGAACGGAACUGCUUUAUCGACCGAGUCACGGUCAGAUCGAUCGAAUCGGUUAGUUCCACCCGAUUUUUAAAUCAUUGAAAAUAGCAAGAUUUUAAAUAGGGGAAAAAAUAUACCCAACUUUAUUUUGUUGUUUUUUGAGGAGGUAGAUCGAAAGGGCAUCUAUAACUUUUAAUUUUGAUGAUCAGAUAUUUUUAAAUGUUAUCAAAUAGUUUGAUUGGUCAAUUUUCUUAUCGGCUUAUUAUUUACACAACUAUUUUGGUCGCAUAUAAUAUAUACAAUUUUGUAAAAUUUUGAAGUAUAAAGAAUUAUUUAUAUUCUAAUAUAGAAAAAAAAAAGAAUUAAAAGUAUGUUUACUGUAUUUGUCAAUCCUGAUGCUUUUAUCAAAACUACCAGGAAAAAAAAAAAAAAAAACUCUAUGUUUGAAGUAACACAAAAUUAUAUGUAGAAAUAACCGAUGAAAAUUGAAUUAGUAACUUAUCUCGAAGAGAAGAGUCGGUUGAACUAUUAGAUAAAAAGAAUUGAGCUGGAAUGCAAUCGGUAGCAAACAGGCUUAAUUGCCACCCAUUUAUUUUCAAUAAUAUAGCCUCCAGAUCGACAUGAGAGCGAAAAAAAGAAAUACAAAAAAUAAAAAAAUAAAAAGAAUAUAAAAUAUAAAAUAUAAUAAAAAAUAUUUUUUUUAUAAGAAAAAAUAAAGAAUCAGAUAGGAUAGAAGAAGAGUUGCACUGUGUCAAAAAAAACGUUGAACUGUUUUAGAGAAAACUUAUAUUCUCACUUGCGCUCGCUCCAAAUCCUCCUCCGGCGCCGACAUCGGUGCUUGCGCCGACGAAGACGGAGGAAGAGGACGUAGCGCUCGUUAUCAUUGUGGAGAGUUGCGGAGGCGGUGGAGAGGGGUCGAAAAAAAAAGAAAAGAAAAGAGGAAGAGUACGCAGCGUUACCCUCUUAACUAUCGUAAAGUAGCGGUGGAGAAAGGUCAGAGGAAAAAAAAAAAAAAUCGCAGUGCUGCCUCGACAGAGCCGGAGGCGAGAAAGGCAGGGCAUGCGUGGACGAGGACACGCGAGACAAAGACGAGGCACGCUGUCGCCUCCUCAGCCGCCCUCUUCGGAGAGAGAAAAAAAAAAAAAAAAAAAAAAAAAAAACGAAAGCAUUUUGAUCAUUUUUUUUUAAAUUCGAUCCGAAUCUGUAAAAUUCAAAAAGACGACCUACUUUCAUAAAAGCGUAAAAGCUCAAAACUAGUAACUUUUUUAUACAAAUUGGCCGCAUAAAGACAUGAGAAAUAUUUUGGAUUCCUUAAAAUAAAUAUUGCCAACGCAUCGGGGCAGUCCACAGACCAAAACAGACUCCGAUCAUGAUCAUGUACCAAUGGAUGCCAAAAUUGUACUGCAGCAUCCCUCUCUGGAAGGGAAUGCUAGAGAACACCAGCACACAAACAAAACUGGAUUGGAAAGAUUCAGAAAAAUGGACUGAGAGCAGAAGAUCAAUGCAAGACAGAAAACGACAGAAAGAUGGAACAUUACCACCAGAUCGAGCAAAACAAUAGAGAGAGAGAGAAAGAGAGAGAGAGAGAGAGAUUAAAAUAAAAUGCCCCACAAUUCCCAGUUCCAGCUUACAACAAGAUCACGCACACCGACGACUAAGAUUGAUUUCGAAAUGUACAACAACAUACGGCAAACAUACAUCGAUCUCGGGCGAAGACAUUUACCCUAUUUCUUAAAAAUCACUUUUUUUUUAUUUUAUCUUUUUUUUUUUUUUGCAAAUCCAUUGUUCUACUCACAAGCCAACUUGGUGUCGAAACUGCUCAGGCAGAUCGCAAAAGCCUGGAACGCUGACAACGGGUACCGGUAAUCCAUCGUGAACAUGUCCUUCCCGACCUUGCCGAACUGCAAGAUGAUCUUGUCGUGGUCGUUCGACGGCGCGGGGCCCCCUGGCGUCGGCUGGGCGGCCGCGAUCAGCUGGAAGUUCUUCACUGACGCGACGGUUACGCGGCCUCGGAAGUUGAGGCACCAGCACUGCAACUGCUCGUGCCACCGCGGGGCCUUGUUGCGGAGGAUGAGCGGCCGCUCCUUUACCAGUCCGUCUAAUCCGUCGUCGUCUCUCUCCCCUCCGGCAAUGUCGGAGAACCGCGCGCUUGUAAAAUAGUCGCCGGAAUGGUCGCCGAGGGAGGACCUGGAGAAGGAGACGGUGGAGCGGAAGGACUCCUCGAGGAGGCGCGGGCCGAGAUCGUCGGCGGGGGGUCCGGGGACCGAGCCCCCUGGGUCUAGGGCGGAGGCCGGGAUGGAGUACAUGAUGCAGUGCAUCCGCCUCGGGCCCCGCGUGCCAAGCACGUUCAGCUCGUAGGUCACCUGGGCAAUGUUGUAGCUGCCAGUAGGGACUUUGGGGGACACUUUCUUGGAGGUGAAGCGGCGGCUCGUGCGGCCGGCCGGCGGGCAAAGGGCGGCGGCCCCACCAUUGUAUGGGGGCUGAGUAUCAUAAAUUAUGAACUUCGUUCCAAUGAAAUUUGACCUGCCGCAUACAAGAAGAAAGAAAAGAUAUGCUCACACAUAUUGAGAUUUUUGAAUUCGUUUCGUAAUAAAUCGACUCCACAUCAAUUGGAUAUUCCCAACAACUANGUUUCGUAAUAAAUCGACUCCACAUUAAUUGGAUAUUCCCAACAACUAUUGUCUAGAGUUGGGGGACUACGAGCAACUUUGAUUUGAGAGGAAAAAAAAGAGGCGGCAAACAAUUGGAUGGCUCCCCAACUUGAAGGUUUGUUUUGUUAGAGACUACUCUUUCAAAAGAUAUAUAUGUAAUUAGAUGAUUUCGCUGGAAUAUAUAUGCGAAAACCCCUUAUUAUAUAUUACCUCAGUUUUCCAAUGUACUUGUUGCUUGAUCUCGAUACAUUGCCUGAAUCCAUGGAAAUUACGUACUCGGUGCGAGUUGCCUUGCGAUAUCUUUUAGCCGAUAGGAGGAACUUCCCAUUUUCAUCUAGCACAGCUACACGGCAAAGGGAACAUGUAGUUAGUCAAUUAUACAAACAUGGAUCUGCAAGCUCAUACUGGCAAUUAGUUCUUCAAAAAGAUGAUAGAGAAAGUAUAUCCCAGGAAAAAGAAAGUUGGCAGGCAGGAAAAGUAAUGUUUUAUGCAUUCAUUAAUUUUGCAACGGCAAGCAUAGAUAAAGAAAAGUAACACCAAGUUUCCUUUAUGGAAUUAGAUGCAUACUUAAAAGACAAAAAACAAACUUUAUCUGCAUAUCGGUAGACAGACAAGCUAGACUUGCUGUACACGUAUUGGGUUCUAAUGCUUCCUGUUCAAAUCUACAUCACUAGAGAGAGAAGCUACAAUACUUGUAGAUUCCAAUGCUUUGUAUUCAAAGUCAACAUUGCGUUUUCUUUAUACUGAUGAUCCACCCCAACAAAUAUUAUCUUAGCUAUUAAAAAUGUCCAAAAACAGUUUAAUAUUGGUUCUACAGAUCUCCUACCUCAAGAACAAACUACCCAGAAAUUGACUUUUAAUUGGUCAGUACAAGGAGUAUGUUCAACUUCCCAGUUUAGGAAACCUCAAAUUAGGUAUACUUUGUUCACAAAUUUUAUAAAUAUGUAGAUUGAGGGAUCUCAGUUCAGGUUUGCAGUCUGCAAAUAAGACUAUUUCUUCAUUUGCAUAUUUAUUUAUGUCUCUACUUGGUCCAUAGAAGACGAGCAUUAAAUAAGAAAUCUACAUCUUUCAGAAAAAAAUGCCACAACAGACAAAGUCAACAUCUGGGAUUAAAAUGCGCACAAUCUUUCCUAAUGAAGUAAAGAUAUUCAAUAAUGCCCUAGCAUAUAUGUAUACAUGAUGCCGUAAAAUGGUUUUAUUUCAUAACCAGAAUUCUAAGAUGAUAGUUUAUAGUCGGAUAUCUUCCUCUUACAAGGGAAGCAUAGUUGUCUGAAAGUAAUAAUAAGACAAGCAGAAAUUAGACAUGACCCACGCAUGAAAUAUAAAUCAAACAGGAAAGAUUUCAACAAAGAUCACAGGGAAUUAAAGAAAAAUCAUUGCCAUCACAAGGCAGCUGAGAUAAAUGCAAAACUUACCAGAGCUAAGACACAAGUAGAGACGGUAAGUCCAUUUUGAUUUGUCCCUCUUAAUGAAACAUUGAAUAGGCGCAUCUCGAGACCCAGGCUGUAAAAGCAGUAUGUAGGUUAAUAACAUUCCCAUAUAACAACAAAACGAUCAAGUAUAUACUCUGCCCAUCUUGCACAUAAAAAGCCAUAAAAUAGAUAUAAACUGUUGGCCUAUUUGGCCACCUGGAGCUUAAUAGCGACAGAAAGUCGUUAGGAAAGGCAGUAGUACCCCUUUCAUUUACCACAGAGCAAAAGCAGAAGCCUUAAACUAAAGCUUCACCAUUUUGGACUGAGAAUCUCCUUUCGCUUGCAGCGACAGAAAAAGCUCCAGACCUAUUGCCUAUUUGUCGUAUGCAAUAAUUGUUGCUUUUUAGAGUCAAGACAACAAAAGCUGUUUCCAAAGCCAUCCCGAACAGGCACGUCCGGACACAGAUUAUCCGGGAGGAUCAGAUUUGGGCAGAAACAGCAGAGCUUGACAGAUGGCUCAGAUCUUCGAGAAAUUUGGGUCAUUCAAAAUCCGACUGGGAUUGAUUCAGGGCUACUUUUUCAAACAGAGAAUGAAUAACUUUACCUGUUUAAGGGAGAUAGGAAAAGUGAGCUUCCCGCAAAACUCCGGGUUCUUAACAAUCUCUUUACACAUUUCUCUCCAGGACCUACAAACAGCCGCACAGGCAACAACAUUCUUGCGAGAAGGCCAAUUACUCUCACUCGCCUCCAAUCUCUUAAUCACGUCACGAAGCAAUUCGGGAGGAAGGCUAGCCCACCGACUAUGCUGAACAACUGGAGUUGGGUCAUGCAGCUCAUGCACACUACUCUGAGCCUUUCCUCUAUGAUGACCCGUUAGGCUAGCAAGCCCCGCAAUGGUGACCUCAAAGCUCCGCCUUGAUAUACUCCCAAAGCCAUCUCUAACAUCCCGAACUACACUUCGGAACGACAUUUAUGCCGAAAUGUCUUCAAUAAGGCUGUAUUACAACACAGAAAGUAAAAUACAUAUUUAAUAAAGUAAAACAAGUUUCAUAGAAUAACAUACCAAUAGGUAGAUAAAUACCUUGUUAAGGACUUAAGAUGCUUUGCAGCUAGAAAAUGUUUACAUACUAUGUCAAAUGUGGGGAAAACACAUCCCUGCGAAACAGAAAAUGAUAAUGAAAAAACCAAAGAGAGAUGUAGAAACUAAAAAUAAGUCCCCUACAAAACUAAAGUCAUAGAAGCAAUUAGCAAAUAAUGGUCCAAAGUUUGACCCAGCUUCAUCAAAAAUAAAUAUGAACGUGGAUACAAAAGGGCAAUGACAAGAUUAAAAUAUAACAAAACAUAUGACUAUUUCUUGAAAUGUUUACUAUGAUUACCAUAUUAUACUGGAGAAACCUAUAACCACUCCAAGCUUAUAAUCUACUUCAUAAGUUUCAUCUAAGUCAAUGCAGUAAAUGGAUUAUUUGGAAAAAAGUUGACUAGUCCAAUACGUAUUUCCACUGAUAGUAACCCCUAAUGCGAAAAGGAAGAAGAUAAAACGUAACAAUGAAACUAUGACGGCAUCAGAUGCGGUUUCGUCAACAAAACAAGGAUUUAGAUCACAUAUUCUGCAGCACCUACAAGCAUCUACAGAUUGAAACAACAAAAUCCUUAAUUUGAACACCUUUACAGAAGGAAAAAAAAGGAAAAAAAAAAAAUCUGAUUUUUAACAAAAAUAAAAGGAAAUCAGGAAUACACACAACAAAUUUGGUAAAUGAUAUAUGUGAUCUUAGCGGGGUAAUUUAUACAAUAAAAAAAACAGAUAACUCCGGAACAAUGAUUUUAAGCAAACACAAAAAAAGAAAAAAAAACAAAAACCCGCAACGGAGCAGCAAAUCGAUCAAUCAUUACGAANAUAAAAGGAAAUCAGGAAUACACACAACAAAUUUGGUAAAUGAUAUAUGUGAAUAUAGCGGGGUAAUUUAUACAAUAAAAAAAAAAAAAAACUUGUGCUUGCUCGUGUAUAGGAACAUCAGGCAUAUUUUAGCAAAUCCAAGGCGGCAAAGUUGCAUAUACAGGGCGUAACAAAACAAAGGAGAGAUUUUUAACGAAAUGGACUCGAGGAUUAAAUGAUAUACGCAUCAAAAUUCCUCUGAACCACCAACAAAAGUUCUGUGAUUUGAGGGUCUUCCAAAAGGAGAAGAACACUGAAACAUCCAGAUAACUCCGGAACAAUGAUUUUAAGCAAACACAAAAAAAGAAAAAAAAACAAAAACCCGCAACGGAGCAGCAAAUCGAUCAAUCAUUACGAAUAUCCACUACCGAAUGCGCCGAGAUCAAAUUUUGCGGGACUAAAAACACUUCAAAAAUCCAAAUCUCUCAAGAAACCACUCGACCAACAGAUCACACAUCGACCACAACAAUCCCCACAAAACAUGACGAGAAACCGCGAUCUCACCUCUGAGCCCCCCGUCGGCACACGAAUCAGAAACCCUAGACGACCUCCCCGCCCCCAAAACCCAUCAUGGGGAACGAAUCACCGCGAUCCAAAUCGAAUCCAGAACCCUAUUCGAUCGCUCUCCCUCGAUCGCAAGAAACUCGCGGAGCCAAACCCUAAUACUCUCUCUCUCUCUCUCUCUCUCUCUCUCUGUGAAGGGGACGGAUCUCACGGGGGCGAUUAAAUGGAGUUGAGAGAGAGAAUGGGGUUGGGAGUGAAAAGGUGGGGGACAAGAGAAAAAAAAGGGAAAAAAUAAAUAAUUUAAUUAAUUAAUUUAAAUAAAUGAAAAAUAAAAAUAAUAAAAUAAUAAAAUGGGUUGGGGAAGGAAAAAGAGAUGCUGAGGCUGCUAACGCUUAUCCCCGCCCCACGCCCAUGGCGGCGAGUUGACUUUCCGUUCCGUUGCAUUUGACGGCGCUCUAACGGCGACGGCGUCGAAGCACCGCCCCGGGAGUAAACGGCCGUUAAAAGCCAGGCAACUUUGGAGAAUCUGUUGCAUGGACCGUGGUCCACCGUGGACCCUCACUGUGAGGUAGAUUUCUGGAGAUGCUUCGAUUGCAUUCUGGACGAGGGUAUGUUUAUUUCACCGAAAGUAAAAUAUUUUUAUAUAUUAGAAUUUAAAUAAAUAUUUUUUUUUUCACAGUUUUGUUUGUAAUGCUAUGGAGCUGAAGUUUUUUCUAAUUUCGUUAUUUGUUUCACAGAAAGUGAAUGAUGAAAAAAAUUAAAAGGGGUAGGAGAUGGUUAAUUUUUUGUUUUUUUUCUUAAUUAAUUUCAAUCUAGAAUGCCUCCAAAUCAAUUAUAGUAUUUUGAAAAGUUUAAGUUUGAAUCAAAAGUGAAAUUAUGGUGAAUUAAAUAAUAGAAGUAAACAGUUAGGGUUGAAAAGGUGAAAAUUACUUCAUCCUACUCUACUUUUGGCACAUCAUAAAUUACAAGCGGCAAAUGAUUUAAUGGUUGGUAUUGAAGAUUUCAAGUUCGAAGUCUUAUUGCUUCAUAAUUAUAAUUAAAUUUAUUUAAAAAAAAAAAGCGAAGUAGUAGCAUGCUAUCAUUCUCUCUCUUAAGAAAAACACUUCGUAAAUUGCACCACUCGCCAUUAUUCUUUUAGCUAUAUUUUAUUUGUCUCUAAACUUUUAAAUUUUUAAGACUAUUUAUAUAACUUAUGAAUUAUGAAUCUUGAACGAAUUUAGAGUGCUCUCCAUAUUUUGCUGGGAGAGAGAGUUCCACAGUACCUUUAUAUUAAUUACUCUGAAAACUGCCGUAUAUCUCCUUUUAACUUAUUUUACUUCUUACGCUCCUUUUUUUAUCUUGGGCUCCGGCCUUCCAUUAGCGUUAUUCUCUCUCCUAAUUAAUUGGUUUGGCAUUCAUCGUAUUUAAUAAAAAGGUUAAUUGCAUACAGUUUUCACUAAAUAUAACGAAUUACAAAUUCAACCCUAUAAUGUUCUACUCUCUUAUGUUAUUCUAAUAAAAAUCCUAAUGUUUUCAAAUAUGCAUCUGCGGGAUCCGUUAAAAAAAUUUAGUUAACCAUUAAUAAAAUACUUAAUUAUGAUUAGUCGAUUAGGUAAAUUAAUAUUUUUACCGCUCUGAUUGUACCCUCUUUUCUCAAUUAAAAUCCUAGCGAUGUAAACUCUUCUUCUUCUUGUUCUUCUUCUUUCUUUUUCUCUUUCUUUCUUUCAUGUUAGUUUUGAAUCCGUAACUAGAAUUUUUUCGUCCCCAUUCAUCCAGAACGCGUGUUGCUUCCUUAUUCAAUUUACUUUAUAAUGUUUUCUUAUGUUGCUAACAAGAGGCUGCGGUGGAAUCGGUUGGAUUUUAAUGAGCAAGAAGAUGAAGAAGAGGAUAAUCAUUAAAAAUUUUUUGUAGACAUUUUUGUACGAUUAUAGCAGUUAGGAUUUUUGGAGUGAAAAAAUAAAUAAAUUUCCAACGGUAACAAAUCAGAGAAAAAAAAUAUGAAUAUCACUAAAUUUUUACAUAAAUAAUAUAAAAAAAUUAAACUUUAUAAAAAUAUAUUUGUAAUUUAUUAUAUUUACAGAGUAUUAUGAACUCGAAUCAGCGCGACUUAACAAAAAAAAAAACCCUUAGUAAUAGGCCGUAGGCCGCUCUUUCCGCUGGAGCCGUUAAAUUAGUAACGGUAACAGGGUGGACUCCGUUACGAUCGUGGCCUCCGUAACGGCUCUCCGUUUGUCCCCUCGCGUGGCAUCGAAGCUUCACAUCUCUGAGCAACAAUUCGUGUGUGUGAACCGCGGUAAAAUGUUCCCUCAAACUCAUCGUUCUCAUGCUGACGUGGCACGCGACCUUUCCACGUGGCAAUAGAUAACUCACCCAUUGGUCGGAUUCUACAUUGAAAUUGUUCCCGCGGAGCACGUUAACAUACACAGUUUUUGGUGUUAAAUUAUAUCGAGACCCCUGUACUAUAGUAAAUUCUGAAGUAGACGCCUGUAUCAACUUUUGAUUUUUUUUUUUUUACAAUGGGGUUAAUUUCAUAGAGCUCCCCGUAAACAUAUCGAAUAGCAAAUAUAUCCCUACAAAGUUUAAAUUUUUAUAUUUAUCUCCGCAAAAGUCCGAUGAUAUUUAUAUUUGCCUCUCAGGUUUAUUACUGUUAGAGCACUAUUUAUUUUUUAACAGAAAAUAAAUGAAAUGAUAUUUUUGUCAUCACAAAUAUGUGCUUUAAAAAGUCCCAACUAUUAAAAUUACGCAGAAAUAUCCUUCAAAAUAUCUACGAUGAUCAUCUUCUUUUUUUUCUACCAUAACAAAUAAUAUAAGAAGGGUAAAAAAGUCAAUUUACCUCAUUUACUAAACAGGGUUACGUAUUUUAUCUAUGGGUAACUAUAUUUUUCUAACGGAUCCUAACAGUAGGAGUAUAUUUGAAAAAGUUAGAACUUUUAUAAAGAUAAAUAUAAAAAGUUAAACUUUGUAAGGAUAUAUCUGCUAUUUGAUAUGUUUACAGAGAGUUGUAUGCAAUUAACCCUUUUUAAAUUAAAUAAUCUCAGCAAAAUAAAUCAAAAAUUUUAUUAAAUUAUUUAAUGAUUAUAUGAAAUUAAAUAAUUUAAACUACUUUGAGGAGAGUAAAAUCAGAAUAAUUAACCGUUAAAAAAUCUAGAUGAGAUAUAAAAUUAGGCAAGGCGUUUAAUUUAACUAACCAUGAAAUUUAAAUCAUAACAAUAAUAAUUAAAAGUUAAAGAAAAGUUAACAAAAAAAAUUAUGAAGUAAUAAUGUCUAUUUUUAUAAAUUUUUUGAAAUUACAAAUGUUUCUCUAUUAAGUUUUAAAUGUAUAGAUUUAUCUCUAUAUAAUGGUUAAUAUCAUUUAACUAUUAAAUUUUUAUCAUUUGAUUGGUAUACAUACAUUAAUAAAGAAUAGAUUUUUUAGAUUUUUAAGAAUUUAUAAUUUAAAAUUCAUCUAGAACAGUGUGAUUGUUAGAAAAAAAAACUUAUAGUGCAUAAUUUAUCAGUUAACCGGUGGACAGAGAUAUAUUUACAAAUGGCUUUAAAUUAUAUUUUUGGUCCACAAAUUACGAGGCACAUGACGCUUGAGUUUUUAAACUUUAAUCUAUUAUAAUUUAUAUCUCCAUUCUUUAAUUUUUUAAAUUACUGUAAUCAAGUUUCAUAAUCUAAUUUAGAGGACUAAAUACUGAUAUAUUUUUAAUACAAAAAUAAUAUAAUAAUAUUAUAAUUAAUGACAUAGUAAUAAUUAUAAUUUUACAUUAUUUUUAUUAAAGUGACAUGCUAUAUUUAGUAAACUAAAUUAGGUUGCAGGACUUUAUUAUAAUAAUUUAGAACGUUAAAACAAAUUAUAUAAUUUUGAAGGGAUAUAAUUACAAUGUACAAUUUUGUAGUUUUGUAGGGACACAUAUGCAAUUAACACUUUUUUUUUUUUUCCUGGUAAUAGGUUGGGGUGUUUUCGAUAAUCUCACCCCCACCUCGUUUUUAAUGUUAAUAAAUGCUGUGAAAAGGUGAGAAAUGCAGAGCGUGUGGUUUGGAGAAAAAAGGUGUGAUGAUAACAGCCCCCACGCUCGCGUUAUCAAUGUUAGUGCCAAUCCUAAUGACUAAUCUACCCCUUUAAUUAGUUGAUUAUUAUGAUUAUUAUUAUUAACAUUGUGAAGGACAAAAAUUUAAAAAUAAUUUUUUAAAACAAUAUAAAAUUUAUCUAAAUUAUAAACUGUUUGGGUCCCGAUAUCCAAUUUUUAAAAAUUUUAAUUCUACUAUCCAACAUUUCGAUCAACUUGAUUUGAAUGAUUUAAUAAACUUAAAUCUGAAUUAAAUAUUGCUUAAUUUAAUAUAUAUAUAUAUAUAUAUAUAUAUGCAUAAAAUAACAUAAAAUAAUAAUUAUUCUAUGAGCCUGAUGGAAUUUAAAUUUAGAUGUCAUAUAAAAUAAUUUGAAACAAUUAUUUAUCUUCAAAAAUAUUAACUCUCAAAUAUAAAGUUUUAUGAGCAGCUUAAAUUUUUUUUUUAGAAAAAGUAGCAAGCUACCUGCUUUAUUCAUUAAAAGUAUGAACUAGACUACAGAAGUGAGGCAACUCGGGCCUUUAGAAAAAAAAAAAAUAAAAAAUAAAAAAAAAAUAAUGGACUGGUCGUAAGAGGGGUUCCCAAGACUUCAGUAGCUGCUUAAUCCUAUGAACACCCACAACAGGGUCAAAAUGGACAUUUCGAAAGAUCAAAUCGUUCCUGGCCUUCCAAAUGGUCCACCAGCAAGCGACCAAUUCAGGUAAGCUAUUCUGUUUAAUAUGCAUCCCUUUCUUGGCCGACCACCUAUCCCAGAUGUAACGUACAUCUUCUCCUAUCUCCCCAGCCUGAACUCUCUCUCGAAUCAUCACCAUGCAGAGUUGGUAACAACGCAUUGAGAGAAUAGGUGGUCCACUGUCUCCUCAUAUACCCUAUACAGCACACAACCAGAAUCUCCGGUCUAGCCUUUCUUCACAAGGUUAUCAGCUGUAAGAGGCUUCUUCUUAAGGACCAGCCAACAAAAUACUUUAACCUUGAGGGGAAUUUGGAGCUUCCAGAUCUUGGAAGCGUGCCCAUCUCUUGUACCCCCAUCACUCAACGCUCUGUACACCGAUUUGACCGAGAAUACUCCGUUGUUACUCCAUCUCCACCCAAUCGUGUCAGGACUUUGCACUACUCUAUAGUUGCCAACCCUUUCCCUUAGUGCAAAUAGGUUGGAACCCGGUCCAGUAUUAAUGUUCGCCACGUCGCUUACACCAACUAGAAUUCUAUUCCAAUUCCAAUCAUCACUUCCGAAGCAAUCCUUGACCGUUAGUAGCUUGCAAUCCGUCAUCACGUGGAUUCCCGGAAAUGAUGAAAGUAAGGUCAUUUCCCCACACCAUCGGUCCAACCAAAAGUCAAUAGAGCUCCCAUCACCCAACUUAUACUAAAUUCCCCAUUUGAAAAUAUCUUUAGUAAGAAUAACUCCCUUCCACCAGUAUGAGUGUGGUCUGAAGAAUUUUCCCUCCCUCAUGGGUCGCCUUCUAUUGUAAUAUAGAGCGCGGAUAAUCUUGGUCCACUGAAGGUGGGGUGCUAUAUAAAAUCGCCACCACCAUUUGACUAGUAGUGCCUGAUUCAUUAUUGCUACAUUCAAAAUAUCCAGCCCACCUUCCAUUUUGCUCGCGUAGACGUUUCUCCAUGCCACCAAACAUUCCUUACCUGCAGAGUUACGCUCGUCGCUCCAGAAGAAGUCUCUGCGUAAGGCUUCAAUACGAUUGAUCACCCAUUUAGGUGCUUUGAACACUGACAAGAAGUAAAGCGGUAGAUUUGUAAGGACAUCGUUAGUCAGGAUAAGUCUAUCCCCUCUAGAUAAGAGUUUAGCUUGCCAUCCGUUGAUUCUAUUUUGGAUUUUCUAAAUGAUCCCUCUUCAAACCUCCUUUGUUGGGGGUUUAUGGGAAAGGGGAAACCCAAGAUAAGUGGUAGGAAGGGUCCCAACUCGGCACUCGAGCAAUUUUGCCAGUUUUGCCGCUUUGCCCUCAACCUGUCCAAGGUAAAAUAGUUCUGACUUUUCUCUGUUUAUUUUCAACCCUGAGGUUCACUGGAACAUGUACUACAUCAGCCUUAGAUUUCUCAUAUAACUUUUUCUAACCACAGAGAAGAAGAAGGUGUCAUCCGUGAACUGUAUUAGGGUAGUUCUACUCUUGUCGAUUGCUGAUAAUUUUUUUCAUGAUAGAAAGUUAAUAAUAUCUAUCAACUUAAUAAUAUUUUAUAACUACUAAUGUUUAUUUAUUUAAACCAAUUAUAGUGAACAUGGGAUGCUCGUAACAUUUACAGAUUAAAUUAAAUUAAAAUUUAAAUAUUAAGUUAAAUUGAAUUCUAACUUGUAUUUUGAAUUUAAAUGGUUAUUGAUGACCAGAUCUAAUUUUCAAUUAAUUUAUUUCCAAUUUAGUUUAGUUACACCAUAAAUAUUUUUUUAUAUGUGUUGCAUAACAUAAUUUUUUAAUAAAUAACUAAAAUUUAAAAUUUUAGAUUCAAAUUUAUGAAUCAAGCUCAAAUUUUAAAUUUAAUUCAUAGUCAUGAUAUUGCAUUUUAAAAGUAUUUUAUUUUUCAAACCGAAUUUAUUUUUUAUUAGUUCAUUAUUAUUUUUUUAAUGUGUAUAAAAUUAUUUGUUAUUUUAUCUUAAAUUUUUAUCCAUUAUUAUUAUUAUUAUUAUUAUUAUUAUUAUUAUAUAUACUAGUUGAGUAUAUGUGCAAAUGUACGUAAUAAUUAUUUUAAUUUAUUUGAAAUUGAUAUAAAUUUGUAUAUCAUAUUCACCCAAAUUUACAAUAAAAAUUAUAUUUUUUAAAUUUCUAUGUUAUAUUUUAUUAGAAAAUAAUUAUAAUNACCCAAAAGUUUAAUGUCAAAAAGUUUUUUUCCAUUUGAAAACGAUAAUAGCUAUUAAAAUGAGCUUUCUUAUAAAAGCUUUAACUAAUACUAAGCUUUAAUUUAUAUCUUUUGUAAAAUUCUACUAGAUUCAAAAUUUACUUUUUUGGCAUUUAAUUUAUUUUUUACAGUUAAAGUAACACCAGAUGACAAAAUGCAUCUAUUUCAUAUAUUUAUAAAAGUUCAGAAAAUAUAAAGCCUGCUUUACAAAAAUAAAAUAAAAUGCAGAGUACAUUUUCCCUAUGCAAUUAGGAAGAGAACUAAAUUGCGAAGUACGAUAUAUUCAGGGCGUUGUGUGCAAUUUUGCCAUUAAGGAAUUUCCGUACGGGUUCCGCAUGCGACGGGUUCCCGCAGAGUAGUUUAUUCUGCGGAAUCACGGGGUGUUUUUUUUUUUUUUUUUUGGUUAUGCGCUCGCUCCGAGGAAUUUAAUUCGUGUACCUCCGUGUCCCUUUCUCGUGCGCCACGUGACAGGGGUAUUUUCGUCCGAACGGAGCUUUUUUACUAGGUGGAGCCACGUGUACUUUGCAACUUCGAAAUCGGAAUUACUCCGUGGACCGGGUCCACCACGCCAGCUAAGAACACUCUUUUUUUGGGAAAACUUCAAAAACCCCCUAUGUGGUUUCGUAUUUUCUCACUUUGCCUCCCUGUGGUUUAAAAUGUAUCAAUUUGCCUUCCCGUGAUUUCUUUUUUCUUUUUUUCUUAUCAAUUUCAUUAUUAUUUUUUCUUAAAUCAGUGAUAAAGUUAAAAUUAAUGGGUACUAAAGUGAAUAUUUGAUAAAUCUAGAUAGGUAUCUGAAAUUUUUUGUAUAUAAUUUAAUGAAAUAUUAACGAAAAAGCUACCGAAAAGAUAAAAACGAAACCACAUGGGGGCAAAGUGAGAAACUACGAAACCACGGGUUCUUGAAGUUUUUCCCUUUUUUUUCUUUGGCACAUUGCACUUUGGUUUUUCAACUUUAAGUUCUAUUUUCAAUUUCAAUAUUCUAUAUUAUUUUUAUAUUUUUUAAUUUCUCAUUAAUCUAAAAUUUAAGUAUAUGUUUUAAUCUAAAAGUAUCAAAAUUUAAUUCACAUUUAUUUUAAAAUUUUAAAAUUUAAUUUUGAUCCAUUGUAACUAAAAUUUUUUAAUUAUUUAUUCAAAUUUGAUAUCAAAAAUUAAAUUUAAUUCAUAAUUUAGACUCAAAUUUUAAUUCUAAUAUAAAAUAGAUGCAUAUUAAUGCUAUUUUUAACAGAUUGAUCAUAACCGUUCAUUUUUAUUUUAGAUAUUUUUUAAUAAAUUGAUCUAACUGUUUGUAGGAUUAGAUUUAUAAAUAGAUAGAGAUAUUAUUUUUAAACAGAUUGAUCAUAACUGUUCAUUUUUUAAGAUAAUUUUUAAUAAAUUAAUCAUAACCGUUAAUAGAAAAUAUUUUAAUUUUGUCUGUUAUCGUAAGAAUUCUUAUACAGUUUUAUAUAUAACUAAUUGAUUGUAUGUACAAAUGCACAUAUAAUUAUUUUAAUUUAUUUCAAAUUAAUAUAAAUUUGUAUAUCGUAUUUGUUAAAAAAUUUACAAUAAAAAUUAUAUUUUAUAAAUUCAUAUGUUGUAUUUUAUUAGAAAAUAUUUGUAAUAUUAUUUUUUAUACACAUUAAAUAUUUUUAUAUAUUUUUUCAUUUUUGAUGAAGCUAAAUUUAAAUAUGUGUUUUAAACUGAAAGCAUCGAAAUUUAUUUCAUAUUUACUUUAAAAUUUAAAUUUAAAUUUUGAUUCACUGUAAUUAAUUUUUUAAUCGGUAAUUAAAAUUUGAUAUCUAAAAUUAAAUUUAAUUAUGAUUUAAACUCAAAUUUAGUUUAAUAUAAACUAAAUGGAUGUGAAUGCUGUUAUUAAUAGAUUGAUCAUAACCGUUUGUUUUUAUUUAAAAUAUUUAUUACCGAAUUGGUCAUGGGAUUAGAUCUAUAGAUGGAUCGAAAUGUUAUUUUUUAAUAAAUUGAUUAUGACUAUUCGUUUUUAUUUGAAACAUUUUUUAAUAAACUGAUCAUAACUAUUUAUGUAGGAUAUUCAUUUUGUUUGUUUUUGUCGGUGAUUCUAGAAAUUUCUAUAUACUUUUAAUAUAGAUUUUGAUUUUGAUGGGUCAAAUUUGGAAUAAAAAAUAGUUUAGGACUUUUUCGAAGCAAAUGAGAAUAUUAUGAAGUGGGUCCCCAGAAAAUGAGUGAUCCACACCGUCCAUUGUAAACUGUCCACGUGGACGCGACAAAAUGCGGUACAGCGAAUACGCAAUACCCGCGGUGGGUAAGAAUCGCAGAAUCUGGAAGCCGCUACGGUACGGGCCAUGCCCGCAUGCGGACGCAUUCGAUCCACCGUUCAAAAUCCCCAUACUCAAUUUCCACCGUUCACUGCCUGAAUGGUGGGUUUAGAUAUUUGGGAAUUUCCGCCAAAUUGCAGAAAAACCCCUAUAUGUAUAAUAUUUUGAAAUUUAAUCCACUCAAUAAAAUUUAGAAAAAAUUUCUUUAUUUUAGUGAUUUGUUGCCUAACUCUUUUACACAAUUUUUUUUUUAUAAAAUAUAAAAAUUCUUAAAUUUAAUUUUAAAUAUGAAUUAUAUAUCUUAUAUGGUAGGACAGUAAUGCCCACAUUUUUUCGCCAUGUUAACCUACAUAAAAUUUUUUUCGUAAUAUCAAUUUUUCUAAUAUAAAAAAUAAAAAAAUAUAAUAAAUUAUUUAAAACAGAAGAUAAUAGUAGGAUGGUUGGAUACUAGUUAGUUAUUUUUUUAUUUGUGAUUAUUCUAAUAUUGCGUAGAUAAUAAAAUUGUAGAAAUAAUAGAGCGAGAAAAUGUGUAUUCUUAUGUAUUUUUUGUGCAUUUUUAUGUGUUAAGGAGUGGCCUCCGAUUUUUUUUUUUUUUUUCAAAAUUUAAUUUUAAUCUCUAUUCUUUGAGAGUAAACUUAAUAUUGUCCCCAUUAUUAUAGGUAAAAAAAAUAUAUAAUUUACUUAAAUUAUGAAUUAUUUUGAUUUAGCUACUCAAUCUUUAAAAAUUUUGAUUGUACUGCCUAGCCUUUCAAUUAUUUGAUUUCGGUCAAUCAAUAAUACUUUUACUUUAAAAUUUAGGUUAAUUUACUUAUUUUAAUAAAUUUAUAAUGACGAGAAUUAUAUAGAGUAUAGUAACUAAAUGUACAAAAAUAAAUGAUACAUUCAAAUUUUUGAAGCUAAAAAAUAUUGCUGACUAACUCAAAUUAAAUAAAUUGAAGGAUUGAUUAGUAAAAUUAAAAUUUUGAAAAAUUGAAUAGCCAAAGUUCUGUUAUGUUUUUACUUUUAUUAUAAAGUCAAAUUGACUUAUUCUAUCAUCGAGUUUAUCAAUAAAAAAAUAAUAUCUAAAAUAUAUUAUUAUUUUUUAUAAAAAAUUUAGAAAAAACUUUAAAUACUAUUUCUGUGAUUUUACACUUUCUCACUUCAGUACUCUGUGAUUUAAAGUGUAUCAAUUUAAUAUCCUGUGGUUUGAUUUUUAUCUUUUUUAUAUAGAUUUCACUAAUUUUUUUCGUUAAAUCAAUGACAAAGUUAAAACUAAAGGGUACUAAAGUGAAUUAAUAUUCGAUAAAUCUAGGUGGGGUAUCUGAAGUUUUUUAUAUAUAAUUUAAUAAAAUAUUAACAGAAAAACUGACGAAAAAAUAAAAAAUAAAAUCACAGGACACUAACUUGAUACGCUUUAAACCACACACUACAACAGAAUUAGGUUAUAGGGACACAUGUUUGGGACACUUUUGAGUAAGUGUCCAAUUUAUGCUAAAACUUAAAAAAAUAUCUGCUAAUGCCUAAAUAUAAAGUCCAAUCCAACCAAAAAUAAAAGAUUACUCUACUCAACCCACCACACCCAGUCCAUUUGGCCCGAUUACAAACAGAAAAGAAAAAAAAAAAGAAAAAUCAAUUGUCAUCUUUUCUUCUCUCUUCACUCAAUCCACUGAAAUUCUAGACGAAAAGCCUUUCCUAUCGUCCUCCUCCGCCACCGCAGCCAACGAGAUAGAGUUUCGGUGGUUGCUAAAUGCUUAAAUAAGUGUUGGUAAAUUAGCAGCACUCUUUUAGGUUAUAGUGACACUCUUUAACUGUCACUAUAUACCUAGCGACUCCACAUAUAGCAACACUUUUUAAAAGUGUCGGUAAUUUUAGUUAACAUCACUUUUUUGACAUGUACCUAUAUUUAAAAGUGUCACUAUAGACCGUUUUUGUUGUAGUGACAUGAUACUGAAAUGAGAACGUGCGAAACCACAUGGAUGGUAUUUGAAGUUUACCCAAAAGUUUAAUGUCAAAAAGUUUUUUUCCAUUUGAAAACGAUAAUAGCUAUUAAAAUGAGCUUUCUUAUAAAAGCUUUAACUAAUACUAAGCUUUAAUUUAUAUCUUUUGUAAAAUUCUACUAGAUUCAAAAUUUACUUUUUUGGCAUUUAAUUUAUUUUUUACAGUUAAAGUAACACCAGAUGACAAAAUGCAUCUAUUUCAUAUAUUUAUAAAAGUUCAGAAAAUAUAAAGCCUGCUUUACAAAAAUAAAAUAAAAUGCAGAGUACAUUUUCCCUAUGCAAUUAGGAAGAGAACUAAAUUGCGAAGUACGAUAUAUUCAGGGCGUUGUGUGCAAUUUUGCCAUUAAGGAAUUUCCGUACGGGUUCCGCAUGCGACGGGUUCCCGCAGAGUAGUUUAUUCUGCGGAAUCACGGGGUUUUUUUUUGUUUGGUAGCGCUCGCCCUCCGAGGACAGUAAUUCGUGUACCUCCGUCUCCCUUUCUCGGCGCCCACGUGACGGGGUUCUCCGAUACGGGAAGCUUUUUACUAGUUACCACGGGUACUUCAACUCGAAAUCGAAUACUCGUGACCGUCUCACCACUCCACUAAGAACACUCUUCUUUUUGGGGAAAAACUUCAAAAACCCCCCUAUGUUGUUUCGUAUAAUUCCUUUGGCUCCCUGGUUUAAAUGUAUAAUUUGCCUUCCCUGAUUCUUUUUCUUUUGUCUUAUCAUCAUUAUAUAUUUCUAAAAGUGAUCGAAAUAAGGGACAAAGUUGAAUAUUUGAUUAAUACUAGAUAGUAUCUGAAAUUUUUUGUAUAAAUAAUGAAUAUUUACAAAAAAAAGUACGAAAAGUAAAAACACCCACAUCGGGCCAAAGUGACAAAACUACGAAACCACCGGUCUUUGAAGCUUUUUCUCCUUUUUGUCUUUGGCGACUUGCACUUGGUUUUCAAACUUUAAUUGUUGUCAUGUUCAAUUUCAAUAUCUAUAUAAUUUGUUCUCACUUAUGAAUGGCAAUAUUUUAUCUUAAAUUAAUGUAAAAUAUUUGACUCGAUUAUUUAAUUAUAGUAAUAACUCUAUAAAUCCAAUUUAUUAUUAAAUAUUAAUUAUAUCGAUAUAGUCAUAUAUUCAUCUAGCUUAUCUUGAUUAUCAAUAUAAAUUUAUAUCCAUUUACUAAGGAUUAGCAAACACAUCAUAUUCAGUCAACUAAUUAGAAUUUGAUUGAAUAUUUAAAAGCUUAGCAAACAGUACUCAAAUAAAGUGGAUACCCAAUGCUAGUUUGGCUUCGUCGGUCUGACGAAACAUGUUAACUUGUCCCUAAAUUAUUGAUUUGAUUUAGCUAUUAUUAUCGAGAAAAUAAUUAUUUCAACGAGCGAUUUAUGUACCAUUUUUUAUUCUAAAUCUUACGCCGUCACAUUCAGGCCAUGGUCACCUAUCAAGGUAGUGCCACUUAAUUAUAUUAAAAUAUUAAGAUUGUAAAAAUUAAAAUAAUCAUUUCUACAUAGUUUUUCCGCAAUUAAAACUAGAAUAUACGGUAGCCUUGAAUAUUUGUAGUCAUGGAACCAAAGGUGAACAGGACAAAUCCCAGUUGGAAGUCUUGGGGACAGUCGGACCAAUGUGGUUUUUUUUUUUUUUUUUUUUUUUUUUUUUUCUUUUUUUCCGACAGAAUAAUAACACCUAACUGCGUUGGAUGUUAAUCCCUGAUAUGUGAAAAUAUUUGAAAACGCUUAUUAGGCAAUUGAUUAAACAAUAAAUGUUAAUUUGAUUUUUAAUGAAAUAAAUGAUUAUGAUAUAAACAUGAUAAGUGUUUUUUUUACUUGAUCAAUAUGCACAUUAAAAAAGCCUUCUCCUAACACUCAAGAAUCUGAAUCAAGAAUGAAACAAUUGAUUUCUAAAGCUUUUUACUCUAUUAUCUUGGUAAUUAUUUUAUUUUAAUAAUCUUAAAAAACUCGAACUAAAAUAAAUCAAAGUACCAUAAGUCAAGAUUCACAGAGAAUAUGUAAACUUAUAUAUAAUAAAUGCUAGAUAUCAUAUUUGACGUACUAUUAUCCUAUUUAAUGAUAAAUUACCAAUAACAAAAAAGCACGGAGAUAAGUGCGAAAUUUUCGAAUCACGAUCAAGAUGGAAAUGAGUAAUCAUAGAAGGAGCUAGUAAGCUUAUGCCACACAUAAAAUAUUUUAUGUUAAAAAUAUAAAUGAGUAUUACACUUAUUUUGAAAAAAAAAAAUAGUAGUACCACUUAUUAUUCAUGAUGUACUUAUUUAUUAAUUUAUAUCUAAAAAGAAAGGAUGAUAUAUACUAGUUAUAUCAUAUCAAACUCAAAAAGUGUUUACCCCUAAACACCUAGGACAAAUAUAAGCAUAGAUGCAUGGUUGGUCAAAUUUGAAUAAAUCACAAUAAUACAUUAUUGUAUAAUUAACCAAACCAGGAUAUUAGUGAUCAGCAUAAGAUGUGUCAUAAAUUAAAUUGAAUUGGCUCUAUUCAUCAACACUAACCGUGCAAGAGACAACCACAUAAUACAAAAUCACACAUGAGUAGUAGAGACAAAAUCAAGGGUAAAUAAAUCCUUGGUCAACUUGAUUUUAUAUAAUAUCCCAUUCACCUAAAUUGAAAAUAAUAAAAAAUUAAUAAUGCAUAAGAGCUGCAAAUGCGAACUGAAAUUAUAAAUAAUACAUCAGGGACUAUACAUACAAAGGAAAAAAAAGGAUACAAUAUACUCAGAAGCUAAAUAUACUAAAACGUGGUAGUGGUCACUAAAUAAAACAACAUAAAAACAAAUGGAACCUGAUAAUGCUUCUUCUUAUCUUCUUCUUCCUCUCUCUCCUCCUCCCUCUCCUUUAUAUAUAUAUAUAUAUAAUAUAUAUAAUAUAUAUAUAAAUAAUAUAAUAAAGUGAACACAUGCUAUCCUGGAAACGACUUCCGGCUCCAAGCAGUUUUCGAGUUGCGACUUUCGAAUCGUCGAUCGCCCGUUAAACAUGAUCAGAUUGGAGUAACCUAAAAAUAAAUUUUAUAUUCGCUCUCGAUUUGCUUCGUGAUCGAAUGGGCUCAAAAAUAAUAAUUAUCAAAUGCCGUAGUGACCGUUUCAAAUAACGUGUAGAAAUAUUCAAAUCACGUGAAUGUGGAUAUGGAAAAUCUUUAGACUAUAGAAAUAAGAUCAAUACUUUGAUUAAAAUUUCCAAUUCAUAUAUAUAUUUUGUAAGAUUUUUAUUAUUCAGCCUGUGAUUUGAGAUCCCCUUAAUCGUUCACAUAAGCAAAUAUAAUCAAAAUAAUAAAAUUUGUUCUAGGUAUUUCCAAAUACUCUACAAUCAAUUUAAACGGCAACUCGAUCGACGAUUCAAUCGCAACAUCGAAAACGAGCUGAAGCACAAAGCUCCGUGCUUUCUACAGCAUAUAAGCCUCAACUCUAUAUAAUAAUAAUAUAUAAGAAUAUACUAUAAUAUAAUAUAUAUAUAUAUAUAUAUAUAAUAUAUAUAUGUAUAUAGAUUUUUGUGCAAUGAAAUAUACACUGUCAUCUAUAUACAAAGACCAAUGCAUUAAAAUAAUAUUCCAACCCAUCGUAUGUACGUACUCUCAACCCAAAUGAGUUAAUAUACAAUAUUAACCUGAUCUAAUGAAUAAUGCACUGGUAAGAAACACUACGACACAUUCUUACACCACUGCAUUCCAAUACUUAAACUUUCCUUUCCUUCUUCUGCUUUCUCUUUUGUAUUUUUUUUUGGUUUUUUUAUUUUGUUUUGUUUUUUUCUCUCUCUCCUCACUUUCUCUAAAGUUAUCAUAGCACAUAAUAAGGAACAAAUUUAUGAGCAUCAUCAUUCCUAGCAACUAUCACUUUUUUGAGAUUCGAAUACUCGAUGAACGAUGAAUUUAACAGUUUCAAAGUGGAAAUAAUCUCCAUAAAAUUAAUUUUUUGUUUCGAAGAUCGCUGAUCAACAAUUUUAGUUACUAAAAAAUCCAUUAGUUUUUAAAAUUUCUCAGAGGGUCUUUUAAUUGACGCAAGCAUAAUUUGGUCAUAACUCAGGUUUAGGUAGAAGUAUUUAUCCUACCGCCGACCAUGAUGAAAGACUAAAUUUUGAGUAUUUUUUAUGAAGACGACUUCAAACGAUCUCUCGAUAAAAGUUGUUUUCAAGAUAUUGAGCUGAUCAUGUUGACUUAAAUGAGCCAGCAUCUUAUCCUGUGGCGGGAGGCCAUGUUGGACCGAGUUAUGUUCGAAGUGGCGUGAGACUGGGUAGACCGAGUCAUGUUCGAAGUGGCAUGAGGAUGGAUGGGCCGAGUCACAAUCAAGACACGUGGGCGAUGUAUUUGUACGCUCUAAGUGAAUUUGUUGUGUAUUUCUAAUAGCUCAAAUUUUUGGGAUUAAUGGUUAGCGCCAACGAUCCGACAGAUCUUUUGGCUUGCAGUAGAAAUAUUUUCUUAGCAUAAUUAACUAACAUUUCUGAUGUUUUAUAAAGUUGAUUUAGGGCCAAAUAUUGUAAUUACCUCAUUAAUCCAAACAUGCAUCCCCAUAGUGAGUGAAGAGAUUAAAUCAAAAUUAAUUUUGGGUAGUGCAUAUCAAUUUUGGUGAUGCCAUUUUUGAGUGGUUAAAAAGAAAAAAAAAGAUGCCCAUCAAACUUUGUGUUGUCCAUUAAUUAGUUCCCUUUCAAAAGAGACAUUUGCUUUGUUCCCCACUAUAUAUAUGUAUACACUUAUCAAAAAAGAAACCCUUUUUUGAAGAAUAAUUAAUUGGGAAUUUUUAUCUUAUGGUUGUUAUAUAUAUAUAAUUUGGUGCAUGUGUGAUUUUUUUUUAUUAAAAUGGAUUUUAAUCCAAUUUGACUCAACUUUCGGAAAGUGCCCAACAAGAGGAUUAGGCCAAAUUUCAGGCUAAUUGACCUAGCCAUUAAGUCUAAUUUUUUUUAUUUUAUUUUUUAUUUUGAAAGUGUUCUUGCUGAAUAUAAAUUAUUAAAACAAAAAUCUGAUAAAACAAAUAAGUAAAUAUAGGUCACAAAAAAAGUAAAGUGUAGGUUUUACACGGUCGUAAAAUUGUUUUGUUUUGCUACUAUGUGGUUUUCUCUAUGUACCAUUAUAAGGAAUUAAUGUUUAGUAGAGUAAACAAAAUACUAUAAUUUACAAGCCAGAGAUAAUAAACUUAUGCAUGCUGAUUCCAAUAUAUAUAUAUAGUAGUUGUGUUGAUGCAUUUGAAUUCAAGUGUUAUAGUUGGAACUACACGCGGGAACUAUGUCCCAACUGGCCAUGAUUCCAGCUGCCGCAGUUAGAAAGAGUAAUUUUAAAUAAAAUAAUAAUUUUAUCUUAAUGAUCUUUUAAAAGAAAAAAAAUAUUUUUUCUUUAAUAUUAGAGGUAAUCUCACCGUUCAGUAUAUAAAACAUGAGCUUUUAUCGAUACAAGUUCUUAAUUCCAUACAAUCAAAUAAAUUAUUUAUAGCUUAGCUACAAUACUUAAUUUCUACUACAUCUAAAUAAAAAAGAUAUAUAUAGUUCUAGUUACUCCAUAUAUUUUUAACUGUACGCAUCUUCAAAUAUACUGCAUUUAUAAUUAUAUAUAUCCAAACAAAUGGCUCCUAAAAUUAUAUAUAGUACAGUUACAACCAUGCGCAAGCAAAGAGUGCCUAAUUAUUUAGGAGAAAGCAUAAAUGUCCGUAUAUACUUGCAUUAAUUGUUAAUAGAUCAAUACAUUAAUAGAUUAUUGUCAUCUUUGAAACAUGCCACACAAUGCACUUUUAAUUAAGUAGCACAAUUCUUGAAGCAAUUAUUCGAACUAGUGGAUGGGAUCAUGAAAACGCUACUUGUCACCUCUCAUGUGUUGCAAUAUUGAUACCUAAAACUAUAUAUAUGUAGAAUUUUCUUCAAGUUAACUCCUUUGGACUCAAACUAAUUAAACUCUAAAAGAGAUUAUUAUCAAAGGUUUUAGGCUAAAUUACAGAAAACCCCCCUGUAAUAACCCGUUUUUUCACUUUUGCCCCCUGACAUUUAAAAACCUACACUUUGCCCCCUUGUAAAAUAAAAAAUGUGCACUUCACCCCUACCGUUAGGGUUCCGUUAGGGGUUCUGUUAAAAAAUAUUUUUUUAUACCGAAAAUACCCCUCUGCCUCUUCUCUGAUGCUUCGCUCCCUCCGGCUCGCCGCCUCGCCGCCUCGCCGUCCUCCACUGCUUCGCCCUCGCCCACAUCCCUUUCGUCCUCCUCCGCCACCUCGCCUUCGCCCUCGUUGUCCCUGCUUACCUCUCCAUUAACACCUAUCUUAGUAUCCUCCCUACUGUCGCCGAAAUCGAUGGGCGGCGACGGUGUAGGAGGAGAAGGGGAGUAGGUGGAGAAGAAAUUGGAGAGGAAUCGUGGCCAAUUGAGAUGCAAAUAGCGGCGGAUCGAAGGGGCGGCUGAGGAAGCUCAGGAAGAAGACAACAAUGGCGAGGGGCAAAAUGGUCAUUUUACACACCGUGACCCCCCUGUGAACAUUUUUUAUUUUACAAGGGGGCAAAGUGUAGGUUUUUAAAUGUCAGGGGGGGAAAGUGAAAAAGUGGGUUAUUACAGGGGGGUUUUCUGUAAUUUAGCUAAGGUUUUACCAGAAUCUUCUAGAAGCAUCUACGGGUAUCGAGAUUGCGGAUGCAGAAAUCAAAGAGUUAAAUGUCUCCUAAAGUUUCGAGAAGAUAUAAUAAAUAUCGACUCUUAGGAGCUCAUAACCUUCCGUUUUGACUUGUAGUUUUGUACGCGCGCGCCACUUGGCCUUUUCUAGUUGCUCUUUUGAACAACGAGUGACCUAUAUACACUAGCGGCCUCCAAGCCCUCAAGAUAACUUAGUUGUACUUUUUCACUCUCAAACAAUAGAAUAUUAUAUUCUUUCAAACACUCUCUCUCUUGUAUUUAGUUGUUAGGACAAGUAGAUUCGGGCUAGCAAGCGGAGAGACAUGCUUGCUAAUUUCGUGACUGAAAUCGAGCGUCGCACGAGUUUAACAAAGGAUUUUUGCAUCAGUUUUGUGACAUAUAGGUGAUAAUAUUCGCCGGGCUAGUCUAGUUAUUGUCACCUGAGAAACCAAUAAAGAUGUCAAAGAUUUGAUAUUUUACAUACUACAACAAAAUAUGUUUUAAACUACGCUUCUUAGACGACGCUAUAUUCUAGUAUCUUCAUAUUCGUUCUUUUUUUCACAUGAAUUUAGAAGAUUUGAGAAAAUAUUUUGCAAUUUGAUAGAGUAUUCCGUAAAGUUUUCGGUGAAAACUGUUAAAGUUUUUGUGGAACUUGGUAUCAAUCUUCUUUUGACAACGUUUAGAGUAAACAUCGACCGUUCCUAGCGCAAGUGGCAAAGCGUUUCGUGGUUAGCAUUUAAGGUCUCAAAUUCGAAACCUAGCUGUUUUACAUUUUCAGCUAAGUGUAUUUCAAAAAAAUAAAUGAAGCGUAUAGCAUGCUACCUUACUCUUAAAAAAAAAAAAACUUUUAGAGUAAAGGGUUAUUCAUCAUUUUGGAUCCAUAAACCACAAGUAUCGAGAAGCAAGGGUUACUUAGAAAGGUAAAUUCGUUCCUCACAUUUUUUUGCUCUUUUUUGUACUAAGGAUAAUAUUCAUGCCAAUUCUAAGCUAGGAUUCUUUUCUUACUCUUAUCUAUAAAUAGCUUGCUUUAGUGUUGUUACCGGUGAAAUACCCGCACGAAGCUGCGGAUAUAAAAAUAUUUUUAUAAUAAAUUUUAUUUUUUUAAUAUUUUUAUAUAGGUUUAUAAAUCUAAUUAUUAAUUAAAUAAAAGUUAUAUAAAAAUAAUUUAAUAGUUAAAUCUAUUUAAAUAAAAGCCAUUAAAAUUAGUAUAUGCACAAAGUAAAUUUAUACAAUAAUUUAUUUUAUAAAAAUUUAUAUGAAAAGGAUUUGAGAUAAAUCUAUCAAAAUAAUUAAAAAAAAAUCAAUAAAUAGAAGGAAAAUAAAAUUGUAGAAGAUAUUGUUUAAUAAAAUUAAUAAUAUAUACACACAUACACUAUAUUUUUAAAAUUUUACUCCUGAAACUUAAAUUCCGUAUUUUUUUUAUACAAUGAAAUUUUAUGUGAUUUAAAUUUCAUCUAUCAAAUUAGAUUUUAUUAUGCGAUUUACUAUGUGUAUUUUUAAUAAAAUUAAUUAAUUAUAUUGUAUAAAACUAAUUAUUAAUAAAUUUAAUUAAUUAAUUAAUUUCAUAGAGUUUAGAGAUUUAAAAUUUUAAACUUUGAAGCUUAAAAUUUAGAAUUUUAAAAUUGAAUUAAAAAUUUAAAUAUAAAUAUAAAUUUUUAAAAUUUAAAACUUGAAAAUUGGAAGUAUCAAAAUUUUAAAUUUGAUAUAAAAAUUUAAAACUUUAUUAUAUUAGUAUAAUAUAUAUAUAUAUAUUAUAUAUAUUAUAUAUAUAUAUAUAAUAUAUAUAUAGAGUUGAUUGGAUACUUUUACAAGUAUCAUCCCCAUGUUGCUAUCAUAUUUUUUAGCCCAGUUGAAUCUACUUUUUGAUUACAAAUAGCCCUUGGAUCAACACUAUUCCACCUACACUACCUACCCACUACCACCAUCAUCUCAACCUCACAUCUCUCAUUCCAGGGCUAAAACACACAGUAUCACUUGGUGAACUUGUAAAAGUAUUCUAGCCCUACUCGAUAUAUAUAUAUAUAUAUAAUAUAUAUAUAUAUAUAUAUAUAUAUAUAUAUAUUAUAUAAUAUAUAUAUAUAUUAUAGAGUUUGCUAGAAUAUUAUCGGAGUAGUAAACGGCUCGGUUUACUACGAUUUCGUUUUCGAUGAUAGAGCCUUCCAAUGAUCAUCGGCCACGUUAAACAUGAUCUAAACUAUAUAACUAUAUGAAAAUUCAAAUUACAUAUUUUCGAUAUUGUUCUUUUGUCCAUCAAGUGAACAAAAAAAUGAAUGGCUGAAAUAAAGUCUUCAAAAAGUGAUGAUACAAUUUUUAUAUUUGAGAUCUAGAGUCUAGAUCUUAUUUUAAAUAGUUUAAAGAAUUUUUAACAAAAAUUUAGUUAAUUUGAACUUUUCUAUACCGUUAAACAGACGAAAUGCACCAUAUCGGCAUUAAAAUUAUAGAUUUUGUGACCCUUGAUCGUUCAGUUAAUGAUGCUAAAAAAUUAUAAAAUUUGAUUUUAGAUAAUUAAAUGGUCAAUCAUGUUCAACGGUGCCGAUGUCGAUUUGAAGCGCUAUCAUCAAAAACAAAUCCGGUAGGUAUCGCAGCAGUUUACUACGGAUAGUAGCCCAGUCAAACAUCAUAUAUAUAUAUAUAUAUAUAUAUUAUAUAAAUAUAUAUAUAUAUAUAUAUAUAUAUAUAUAUAUAAUUAGCGCUACUAUACUAUUGGUAGCACGGAGCGCUCCGUGCUACGAGUUGCUUUUGAUGAUGCGGCUUCCAAAUCGACGAUCAGCUCCGUUAGACUUGAUCUACACUAUUGAUAGUAUUUAGAACUAAAAUUCAUAAUUUUUCGAUAUCAUUUUAUCUAUCAAACAAGUAGUCUAAAAUUGAAAUGGCUGCAAAAUAAAAAUCUCAUGAAAAAUGAUGAUAAAAGAUUUAAAUCAAGAUCCAGAUAUACUAAUUCUACUCUAAAUAGUGAAAAGAAUUUUCUAUAAAAUUUUUCAUCGCAUUUGGAUUGUUUUACACCGUUAAACUCCAAACACACCACAUCGGCCAUUAAAUUUUCAAUUUUGAGAUCUUUUGAUCACUAGUCAAAUGAUGUCGAAAAAAAAUUAAAAUUUAGUUUCUAAAUACUUUCAAUAGUGUAGACAAGUCUAACGGAGCCGAUCGUCGAUUUGGAACCGCAUCAUUGAAAACAACUUGUAGCAGCACGGAGCGCUCCAUACUACCAACACAUAGUAGCCGGACUCGUAUAAUAUAUAUAUAUAUAUAUAUAUAUAUAUAUAUAUAUAUAUAUAUAUAUAGAGGGAGAGAGAAGGGGAGUUUGGGGGGACACGUGUCACCAUGUGGUCUCCAAACCCUCCUUUAAUAUAGUUAGAUAGAUUAUUAUUAUAAUUAUUAUUUUUAAAAUUAGGGCAAUUCCUUGGUAGCAUAUCCUUGGCAUAGAACAAUGUACAACUAGCAUAAAGUUGCACGUACCAAAAAAGAAUAAAAAAGAAUUAAAAAGAAAAGAAAAUGGCCUCAUCAGCAUUGUCCCAUGUAGUGCUCAUCACCCAACACGUUUUUCUUUUUCUUUUGGGUGACAAAGUUAUAUACCAAAUGCUAAAUUUGAGCAAUAUGUUACAAAUCUAUGCAAAGUUAGUUAAGUUAAAUGGCUUUUAAUCUAUGUACAUAUCUUGACCAAAUAAGCCUAGCUACCAAACUAGCUAGCUAGUUAUUAGGGGCUAUAGUUUAGACCUAGAUCGAGACGCGAUAGAUGAAGUGCUGUUCGAGCAGUACUUUAAAUUGAAUCCUCACUUUUGAUUUUAUUAUUACACUUCAACUUUCCUCUAAGAUAACGAUCUAUAUAUAUUUUAUUCAGCUUGCAUGAAAUAUAUUAAAAAUAACUGCAGCUAAAAGUAAAAUCAAAAGUAAUAUCUAAAAAGACCCUAAUUAGUUGUCGAUUUAAAGAUCCAGUAUAUACAUAUACUUAUACUUCGAGUACUGUAAAAAUUAGUUCUAAGAUUCUAAAAUUAGCUGUUAAUUAUAUUGGACAAACUUUUCCUAAGAACAAAAAUAUUCAUGUUUUGCAUUAAUAGGAUUAGCUACUAAUUAACUAGACUUGUUUAUUGUUUUGACCCUUUUUUUUACUCUAUUACACCUUUAAUUUUAAGGCAAAUUUAGGAAAUAAGGUUUUAGCUUAGAUGGACAAAGAUAAUAGUUCUAGUACAAUGGGGACAACUAAGAGCCUAUGUAAUAUAUAAUAUAUAUUAUAUAUCCAGGUAUCAACUACUUUAUAAUUUAAUAAGUAUAUACUUAUCUUAAGUGUUACAUAUUUAAUCAAGUUAAUUAAUAUAUUCUACAUGUUUUGACCUAACGAACCAAAAAAGCAUGAUUCUAGCCUUUUCUCCUCUUGCAUUAUCCAUAUAUAUAAUUUAGUCUUUGUUAAAGCAACGACCAUUCGAUUUUAACUUGGACUCUUUGAACUUUGAUAUCAUGUAGAAUUUGAACUCGUACUCUUUAAUUAGCUCUGAUAUCAUGUGAAACAACUGAUUUUAUCUAAAAAUUAUUAUGUGAAAUAAUAAAUUUUUUUUUCUAAAAUCUUAUGUUGCUGAAAAUCUGCAGAGUUUACAUGUGAAUAUUUUCCGGUCAAAUGUAUAAAAAGAGACAAAUUAAAUGGUCCAUAUACUAAUGGAUUUAGAGCUAAUGAGCUUUAAGUUAUUAAUUAGGUUGAAUAAAUUAUAUUAAAUUUGUCACAUAUUUUGAACCCGUAUGGGCCUGGAUUGAAACUGAAACUUGUAAAUUUGAAUCCCAUCAAGUAGAUAUAUAUAUGUAAAGGAUGAGGCUAGUAUGCUUCUGGAAGCUGCUUCCAAGUCGUUUUCGAUGUUGAAAAUUUUGGAUCGAUGAUCGGCUUCUUUAGACUUGAACUAAAGUAUUUGAAAUAUUUAUAAAUAAAUUUUGUAAUUUUUUGAUAUCAUUUGCCUAGUGAUCGAAAGGGCUCAAAAUCAACCGCUGAAAAUAAAAAUCUUACAAAAUGUGAUGAUAUAACAUUAAAAUUUUAUAUCAAAGAUAUUGAUCUUAUUGUAUAUAGUAUAAAGAAUUUUCUAUCAAAAUUUCACUUGAUUUGGAUAUUUCUACACCGUUAAACUUGCAAACGCCUCAGCAUGGUCAUUAAAAUUAUUAAUUUUGAGUUAUUCGAUCAUUAGGCAAAUAAUAUCAAAAAAUCAUAAUAUUUAUUCUAAGUAUUUCGAAUACUCUAGAUUAAAUUUAAUAUAGCCGAUCGUCGAUUCAAAAGUUCCAACAUUGAAAACGACUUGAAAGCACGGAAGGUGCCGUGCUUCUAAAAGCAUACCAGCCCGGCCCAGUCUAUAUGUAAAAUCAUUAGUAAGUGAGAAUUUUUCACAUUCCAACUUGAAAGAGACUCUUAACAUCUUUAAACCUACAUAUGAAGCCUAUAUAUACAUCGACAAAACCCAAGAUUAUAUUACACAAAAAUAAUUCAAAUUAGGUACAAGUUUCAACAUAAUAUAUUAAAUGCAUUAUUAUUAUUAAUUAUCAUAAAAUUAUGGUGGGAUGAGCUAUAAGAUCACUACAAACAUAAUAACCAAGAAAAAGAAAAAAAAAAAUAAAAAUGAAAAGAGAUCACAAUUUAUAAGUACUAAUAACUUGGUAUUUUGAAAAAUAUAGAAGCUCAAUUAUAUAUAUAUAUAUAGGCUGGGGCUGCUAUACUCAUAUGAGUAUAGAGCCCUUUGUAUUCAUAAGUUUUCGACCGUUCAGAAAAAAAAAUAUGCGGUUAGGAUGAAAGUGGUUACGGUUAGGUUGAUAGUGGACCCCCUAGGGUUGAGUGAGUGGUUUGUUGAAUACUAUAAUCUAACGGGUGAAAAUGAUUAAAGGAUAGAUCUAAUUGCCAAAAACUUAUGAGUACAAUAGGCUUUAUACUCAUAAAAGUAUAAUAGCCGGACUCAUAUAUAUAUAUAUAUAUAUAUAUAUAUAUAUAUAUAUAUAUAUAUANGUUGAGUAGGUGGUUGGUUUAAUAGUAUAAUCUAAUGGUUGAAAAUGAUCAAAGACGUAGAUCUAACGGUAAAAAACUUACAAGCACCAAGUGCUUGGUACUUUUACAAGCACCAUAGUCGGACUCUAUAUAUAUAUAUAUAUAUAUAGUCCGGCUGGGAUACUAUCGAUAGCACGAAGUUUUCUGUCGUUAGAUUUACCUCUUUUAUCAUUUUCAUCCGUUCGAUUAUACUAUUCAACCAACCAUCCACUCAACCCUAGGGGCCCACAUCAUCCUAACCGCAUAUUUUUUAAUCUAAGAGCAGAAAACUUAAUAGCAUCAAGUCAUUGAUGCUAUUAAUAGUAUUGCAGCCUAGUUUUAUAUAUAUAUAUAUAGAGAGAGAGAGAGAGAGAGAGAGAGAACAGGACUACUGUGCUAUUAGGAGCACAGUAGCCUUUGUGCUCCUAACUUUCUAACCACCAUAAAGUUUGAUGGAUGGUUAGAAUGAGAGAGGGAGGAGAUAUAGGGGAGAAAUUGGGUGUCUCAAUUUCUCUUCUCCUUAAAUUUUUCUCGAAUAUUUUCUCCCUCUCUCAUUCUAACCACCCAUCAAACUUGAUAGGUGGUUAGAAAGUUAGGAGUACAAGGGCUGCUGUACCUCUAAUAGCACAGUAGCCAUUAUAUAUAUAUAUAUAUAUAUAUAUAUAUAUAUAUAUAUAUAUAUAUAUAUAUAUAUAUAUGUAUUAAUCUCCCUUUGAUCUUCAUCACAUUGUACAAGGACGGUCGAACUACUGCCAACUUAAUCCAUGCCAUCAUCUCUAUAACCACUCUUACUAUUUAUUAUUAUUAUUAUUAUAUAACCAAUAUUUUGCUGCUUUAAUUUUCGUGGUGAAGUGUCAUAUUAAAACAUUCAUCAAAUAUCUGUGUACUUAUUUAUUUGUAGAAGAUAACUUAGAUGAGAAUUCCGAGUAUGUUUGGUAAAGGAUGUAUACGUAGGUUGUUUUGAAAAAGAAACGCACAACAUAAACCUGUACGCACUGUUCAAUGAGAUCAUGCAUGCAUGGGAAGCGUGUGGACUCUUCUCAAACCUUUAAAAAACCAUGAAAAAUCAAUUUUCAAAAAAAAAAUUCUUAAAAAAAAUAUAUAUAUAUAUUUUUAAAUAAUGCGAAACAAUUGUUAUUUCUCUAAAUACUCCAUCUCACUUAUUGCGCGUUCUGAUUCCAUGUUAAAUAAUACGAAAUAUCUAUUAUUUUUUAAAAGGUUAAGCUAGUAAAGAAUGGUAUUUAAAUAUUUUUAUGUUUAACAAAUUUUUUUCUAUAGAUUUUUAUUUUUAUGAUAAAAAAUUAAAGAAGACUUUUUCAAAGUGGGACGAUAAAAAAUGCCUAGAAUUAUUUUUUUCAAAACCAAACACCGCCUAAUUAAAUGGAAUAAUUAAAUUUACAUGUCAAAUUAAUUUUUCGAAUUGCAUUGUAUUAUAUAUUACUCAAAUAUUAAUCCCAUAUUUGGACAAAUUAUAACAUUGUCUUUGUAACCUAACGAAAAAAACAUUAGUCUCGUAUUAGAUACAAAUAUUUACUCAUAUUCUACUUAUUGAUGAAUUGUUAAAAAAUGUAUUGUUGUGCUAUACUAUUAUGUUAAAAUAGAUUUAAAAAGCUAUAUGUUUUGAGACUCGAAAAAAAUAUAUAAAUUGGGAUUCAAAUUUAAGGCCGUGGUUUUAACUAGUGUAAACAAUUCUUGAAGUAAAAUAAAUGUUAAUUAAAUUAAAGUAAAAAAAAAAUGUAUAAUUUCAAUUUAUUAUUAUUUCCAAACGUUUAAACACGCAACAUGUUGAUAAUUAAAAGCAUGGAUGGGCCAAAUUAAUUUGAGCCUUGUGGAAAAAAAAUGGGCUAAAAAUAUUGGACCAAAUUUGGGCCUUUUGAGGCCCAACAAAACUAAUCCCAACAUGUUGGCGAUGACAAAAUUAAAUGGUGUAUUUUAGGUAUGUCAAUAGGUGCGGAUACUCGAAAUUCUAUCUAAAUCCAAACCCGAACCUGAAUCCGAACCCGAAUUCGAAGCUGAACAAGAUAGAUUUAACCGGUGGUGCUAAAUGGGUAUGGUUUCAGUUAUAUGGAUAAAAAACGAAAAUUCAGUGAACUCGAGUUUGAUUAUGGUUUCGUCUGUACUUGAAUAGAACCUGACCCUGAACCGAAACCUGAAACCAAAUCUGUAUAAGAACCUAAUAUGUAAAUAAUAUAACUUUUUAGAUAUUUAUUUUAAUAAUUAACACAUAUUAAUGGUUUAGUUUAAUAUUAGCAUGAGUCCGGCUACUAUGCUAUCAAUAGCACCUAGUAUUUGGUGCUAUCAAGUUUUCCGCUGUUAGAUCUAACUCUUUGACCAUUUCUGUCCAUUAAAUUAUACUAUUCAACCAACCAUCUACUCAACCCUAGAGAAUCACUAUUAUUCUAAUCGCACAUUUCUUUAUCCAAGGGCCCAAAAUCUGAUAGUAUUAACGACUCGAUGCUAUUAAUAGGGGUGGAACUGGGCUUGGGCCUAAACCCUAAUAAACAAAACUAAAAUUGGAAUUUGAUUGGAGCGUUACGUCGAUCAUGUUAUUGAACACACUCUACAAGCAUUGAACAUAAAAUAUUGAAACAAUAGCUUGAAAUAGCUUUAAAAGUUUUUAGUAUAGUCAUUUGUUCCAUUUUUUUUUGUUUUUUUAGAGUUUUCUCUCUUUUAAUAACGAUCGAGUUGAAGAAAAGUAGUAUCUUAAUAACGGUUUUGUAAGAUUACAAUUUAUCAUGGGUUGCUACAGUUAGCAUUGCUUGUACUUUUAGGCCCCGUUUGGUUCGGGGAUAAGCUAGCGGGGAUAACGUAAACGUACGUGCAUUAUUGAGUGCUUUCUUUUCCUCCUAUCUUUCUUGCUUUCUUUCUUUUCGAUGUUGCUCGUAGAUCACGCACCUUCGUUCUUUUUGAUGUCGCCUGUAGAUCACGCAUUAAAGUAAGGGUUGACAUAGGCCAACCUAACAAAAUAUGCUCAAAGGGUAUCAACCAAUUGCUCUAAAUAGUAAUCAUAAGCUACGUUAUUUCAGGAAUAGAUACAAAUUCAGAUAUAAACAGGAACUAAACCUAUUUUGCGUUUGGAUAAAAAUUGAAUUGUUUUUAGGAAUAAGAUAAAUAGUGUUUGUAUGGUUAGAUUGAAACAAGAGGAAUAAGAGUUAUAAUUUGAAAUUAAAAUUUUAUUAUCUAAUUAAUUAACAUCAAAAUAUUACUUAAAAAUAAAUAAUAAAUAAAUUAUUGAUAAUUAAUUAUAAAUAAUAAUUAUUAUUAAUAGUUAUUAAUAAUUAAUUAUAAAUAAUACAAUAAUAAUAUCAAUUAUCUAAUUAUUAUUAAAUAAUAAUUAUUAAUAAUUAUUAAUUAAUAAUAAUAUCGAUUAUCUACUUAUUAGUAAUAAUUAUUAAUUAAUAAUAAUAUCGAUUAUCUAAUUAUUAAUAAUAAUAUUUAUUAAUAAAUAAUAAUAAUUAUAAAAAUUAUUAAUAAUUAAUUAGAAAUAAUAAAUUAAUAAUAUUAAUUAUCAAAUUAUUAAUAAUUAAUUGUAAAUAACAGAUUAAUAAUAAUAUCGAUUAUUUAAUUAUUAAGAAUAAUAAUUAUUAAUAAUUAAUUAUAAGUAAUAAAUUAAAUAAUUAUUUUAUUAUUUAAGCACUGAAUAAUAAUUUAAAUAUAUUAAUUAACUUAAUUAAUAAUUUACUGUUAUUAAAAUUUAAUUUAGAUUUUAAUUAACCUUAUUCUCAUUCGGGAACAAGCUUGUUCUAGAAAAAGAGUGGAACAACAGUUCCAGCCUUAUAUCAGUUUAUUCCAGAAAUUUAAAAACUAUUAUUUUUAGGCACCAAACACGACGUUUGAAAAUAAAGGAGGGAACAAGGACUUAUUUCUCCCUUAUAUUAGCUAAUUGAAAGUGCGAAGCUAGCGAGUUCUAAGGAGACACUUUAUGUGCCACAUUUAAUAUUAAUAUGUGAAGAUUUAAAAUUAACAUGUAACCAUUUUAAUUAUGAUUUACAUCAUCUAAAAAUACUAUAUAAAAAGUUAUGUGUUUUUUGAAAAAUUAUUUAUGCAUCAAAUGGCUUAAAAAUCAAUCAUAAAAAAUUAUUAUUUAAUUCGUUCGAAAUUAAUAUAAAAUAAUUUAUAGUUUUUGAUAGAUAAUAUUUAAAUAUAAGGAGUACAUUUAACAAAGUAUAUUUUAAUUUUGAGACUUUAUGAUAGGUUCAGUAUAUAUACAAGUAAUAAUUAUAAAACUGAUCCAGGUAAUAAUAUAUAAUUUAGUAGUUGUUUUUUUUUUAAUAUAUUUUAUAGAAUUUUAUUUGCAUAGUUCUUAUUUAAAGUAAUCUAAAUAAAACUAAUUUGAUAGUUAAAUUAAUUAAAAUAAAAAGGAUUUAUAUAUAUAUGUAUAUGUGCAACAGAAAUUUUUAUAAGAACCUAUUAAUUAUAAUUAAUUAAUUAAUAAUAAUAUUGUGUAAAUAAAUUGCUAAUAAUAUAGAUAUUAAAUGGUUAAGAUAAUUAGAACAAAACUUACAAUAUAUUUAUGACGAAAAUAAUUUUAGGGACUUAUAAAUACGUAGAUAGUUUUAUUAGACUAUAAAUAUAACAAAUUAUAAAAAAUAAUAUAAUUAACUAAAAUUAAUUAAAUAAAGUUGGCCGAAAUAAUAGAAGAAGGCAAAAAGUUUAAGAGAAAUAUAAAAACUAUUAAUAAUUAAACUACUUUGCAAGGUAAAUAUAUAUGAAAAAGAAUAAGAAAGAAUAUGCUACUAAAAUAAUUUAAAUAAAUAAUAGAAAUUGGAGGAGAAGUUUUUUCAUACAUUUUAUUGUCCGUGUAAUUAAUAUAUCUUAUAUACUACAUUUCUAAAACUUUAUUAAAAAAUUAAAUUAUAUAUGUAAUAUUUUAUACAUAAACUUUUUAUUUGGUAUAGAUUAUAUUAUCAUAUUUUACUAUUCUAUAGUUCAGAAGUUGUNGUGAAUCGUUUUCCGCUUUUACCCAUUUCUUUUAAAGGCGGUAAAUCGUUCACCGCUUUCUCCCAUUUCUUUUAAAAACGGUAAAUCAUUCACCGCCUUUCACUUAUUUACUGUUUCUUUCUAUAUCCCAUAUAAUCUUAACAACUUUUAAAUCCUAAUAAUUUAUCUAUAUAAUUUCAUAUAAUCUUACCUGCCUUUAUAUGGAAUAUAGAAAAUAACAGUAAAUAAUUUAUGGGAGAAAACGGUGAAUGAUUCACCGCCUUUAAAAAAAAUGGGAGAACACGGUGAACGAUUCACCGUCUUUAAAAGAAAUGGGAGAACGCGGUGAACGAUUCACUGCCUUUAAAAAAAAUUCUGACGUGGCGCCGACGUGGCGAAAAGAGGAUUAGUUUUAUAAAUAAAAUUUUGAGUGGGUUAUUUCGCAAAUUUUAAACUUUUAUAGGGUUGUUUUAUAAAAAAGUCCUAUCCUUUCUUUUUUUCUUUUUUUUUUUUCUUUUACCCUAAUAAAACUUUUUAACUUUUGAGGUGUAGUAGUAGUAGUAGUAGUAGUAACUAGUAAAUACUAGAGAGCUUGCUUUGUACGUGUGCUUUUGUUGCGGUGGUGGCGCACUCGUGAUAUAUAUGUGUGAUCGAUCAGGGGCUUAAACUUUCUCAUCUUGUUGGUGUUGGGCAACAGCAUUAAUGUUUGGGGAAUCGAUUACGACCUGCACAGUUGCUUCCUCUUGCGGCAGCUCCCCCACUUUUGCUGCUUCUCUCCCUUUCCCCCACAGCACCAUGUACAGUCCCACCACUAUGAGUACAGCUCCAAGAACACUGUUUAAGCAACCCACCAAAAUUUUCUUUUAAUUAAAAAAAUUCAAAUUUGGAUACAAAAAGAUAUUCAAAUUUCGAUAUAAAAUAGAACAGCUGUGGUGGUGGUGGUGGUGGUGUCGACAAAGUAGAAGAGAAUUAUUUGAUCAGAUCACACUAGUCGCUGCUGCUGCUGAGUUUGACUCAUGUUCAGUAAAUCUUUCUAUCGUUAUCAACUUUAAUGUAAAAAGUAAAAGGAUUAUAGCCCGAGUGUGUUAAUUUGAUCCGGAAGGAGCUUCUGCAGAAGUGCUACUACUCGAAAAAGCAUCGAUAUAGAAUUCUUACGGCUUUAAAGCAAGAAAUAGAAGCUCUACGGUGAAUUUUAUUUGACGGAAACACAUUUUGGCAGCUCACUAUAGCAAAAGCACACAAUACAUAGUUUCUCUUUCCAUAUUUAUAAUCUAAAAUAUAAAAAAUUCUUCUAUAAAUAUUUAUUUUUAACCCCUCAGAAUUUUCAAAUUGAUGCAUUUAUUCCCCCCCUCAGUCAGAGUUUCGUCAUUUAUCCCCAAAAAAAUAAUAAAAAUAUAUUAAAAAAUUAUUUUUUUUAUAAAAAUAAGUAAAGAUAAUUUGUUCAAUUUGUCCUCCCCAUUAACACCAUAGCUUUUGAAAAUAUUUCUAAAAAUUUAAAAAGCUAAAAUAUAGGUCUUUGAAAGACAGCGAAGAAAAAAUUAAAAAAUAUGGAUAUUAGCAAAAAGAUUUAAUAGCUUUUGUGUAGAGAGAGAGAGAGAGAGAUUCUACGAGCACAAGACAAGGAAGGAAAAAACAUAGCAUAGAUGUAGAUAAUUCACCAUUAAUUUAAUUAUAAUUACCUUCCUAAAUGCAGCUUCUCAUUCAGCAGGAGGGAGCUCAGGAGAGCCACAAUCACAAGCAUGAGAGGGUUGAAAAUAGAAGCAUACAAGGGCCCCUUCCUCUUUAUGCACCAAGCCAACACUGUUAGUAUUAACCCUGAUGCCACAAUGCCCUACACACACACAAAACACACACAAAACAAUUAAUUAAUCCAUGCAUGCAUGCAUGUAACAUUACUUAAUCGAUCAUUAAUUAGUAGAAUAUAAUAUUUAGUAUAUAUAUAGAUAUCUGGUAUACAUGAGCAUAAUCAAGAAUGUUAAUUAGAACCAUACUGAGUAAGCUGCAGAGAGGAGUCUAAUAUCAAAUCCCAUUCUCCACUGAGCCCAAUCUCUUUCGACCACGAUCGCGAACACCACGGCUUGGAUCGUAGCCAUUAUGCACAUCAGCGCCGUGCUCGAGUAGUGGCAUGGAUACUCUUUGCUCAUCUUCGCCUGGAAAAUUAAAUAAAUAAACUGUGAAUCUGAUGAUGAUCAGAAUAGUAGCUACUAAUAGAUGCAUUGUUUAUUUGUUAGAGUGAAGCUUCAUAUUGUUUGUAAAAUAAAACGGUGUAAAAAGUCCUAUAUCGGAUGAGAAUAGAAUUAUGAUUGAGAAUAUAGGAGAUCAUGAACCAUAGUAAUAAUAACUGCGCAUAAACGUUAAUAGUCCGUGGUUUAAGCCCCACGAGUUAUUACCGCUAGCGGGUCAGAUCGUUACGCAAAAAUUAAGUUUGUGGCCAUGCAUUGAUGAUCACCUGAAUAAUGAGCCAUAAUGCAUAGCUGAAGCAACUGGCAACAGCCAACAAUGAGCCCAUGCCGCGAUUCCCGGCUUCUUGGUUAGAAGCUCCUCCAUGGUGAGAUUUUACAAGGUUGAGAUGUGUAGACCACAAGUUGAUAGCUACUCCUUUGUAGAAUGUUAGUAGCAUUGCACCACCAACCCCAACAAGUGUCCCCAAAACCUUCGCUUGCCCCGACAAUGUCCGCAAAGCCAAACUCUCCAAUCUAUGAGUAAAAAACCAAAAAAAAAAAGUUUACUAGAAAUAUUUGAUGAAAAACAUUAGAUGGAUAUUUUACGUUUCGUCCAUUAUUUUCAGAAAUGAACUUAGCUAAACCCUUUGCCGCUUAUGCUGGGAAUUGUUAGUGCAUUCUAUUUAGUGUUAAUGAUUUUCAUUAGAAGGCUUAUAAAAUAUUCAAUUGAAUGACAAAAUAUUCUCAAUUUACAAAAACAUUAUUCUGUCAAAAAAAAUCAAAAUGCUAUCAACUUCUAUUGGGAAAUAUGAAAGACUCUCCUACUACUAUCUAUAGUACCGGAUCUCUGGUACUAUAAUUUCGUUUUCGAUCUUAGUUUGUUCAAAUCAACAAUUCACGUUGUUAAAACUGAUUUAGGGUAUUUAAAAUUUUUAGAAAUAAAACUUUAUAUUUUUGGACAUAAUUUACUUUAUGACCAAACCAUUUCAAACUUGUCAAAUUUCAAUGGCUACUAUAGUGAUUUUGUAGUUUAACGGUAUAGAAGAAUCUAAAUUCAUUCAAAUUUUGAUGGAAAAUACUUUAAACUAUCCGGAUCAAGAUUAGCAUCUUUGAUCUUGAAUUUUAAAAUUUUAUCUCAAAUUUUUAAAAUUGUUCAAUUUUCACCGUUUAUUUUGGCACAAUUUACUUACUAGGUAAAUGAUGUCGAAAAAAAUUUAAAUUUUAUUUCUAAGAACUUCAUAUACUCUAGACUAUAUUUAAUAGUGUGUAUCGUUGAUUUGAACACUCUAAAAUUAAAAAUGAGACUAUAACACCAAAGCUCUGGUACUAAAGAUAGUAUAGUAAUCUCAUUCUAUAUAUAUAUAUAUUUAGCUUGUAUGCUUUUAAAAAUCUAAAGUCAUUGAUACUUGUAAGUUUUCGGUGCUUGGAUUAAGGGAUGUGCGGUUAGGAUGAUAGUGAUCUCUUAGGGUUGAGUAGGUGGUUGGUUGAAUAGUAUGAUCUAACGAGUGGAGAUGAUUAAAGGGAUAGAUCUAACGGUGAAAAAUUUUAUGUACAAAAUGUUUAGAAUAAAGUAUACCUGAAUAAAACAGCCAAGGUAAAAGUAAUUGCUGGGAUAAGAUUGGUCAUAGCUGAGGCAAAGGUUGCUGAUGUGAGUUUUAAGCUUGUGAUGUACAAAUUUUGCGCCAAUGUACCCCUGCAAUAAAAAUAAUAUUAAAUAACAUAACAAUAUUCGACUAGGUUUCACCUAAUCAAAACUAAUAUUCUGAGGAAAGAAAAAAAAAACAUUCUUGUGUUUGAAAUAUUUACGUGGAACCAAAAAAAAAUAAAAUAAUCCCAGUUCAGAGAAUGAUAUAGUUCUUGAAUAUGUUCAGUAAACAUUAUUACUACGAUUAAUUGGAGUUAAUAUUUAAGUUAAAAAAAGACAAAUAAAGUGUUUCUAAUACCAUAUAUAUAUAUAUAUAUAUAUAUAUAGAACUAGGCUAAUAUACUAUUUAUAGCACCAAGUCAUUGGUGCUACCAAGUUUUUGGCCAUUGGAUUUGGAAAUGUGCGGUUAGGAUGAUGUGGGCCCCCUAGAGUUGAGUGGGUGGUUAGUUGAAUAGUAUGAUCUAACGGGUGAAAAUGAUCUAAAGGAUAGAUCUAACGGCAGAAAACUUGGUAGCACCAAGUGCUUCGUGCUAUUAAUAGCACAGUAGCCGGACUAUAUAUAUAUAUAUAUAUUAAUAUAUAUAUAUAUAUAUAUUAUAUUAUAUAUAUAUAUAUAUAUAUAUAUAUUAAUAGUGAGAGGACCACAUCUAUAUAAAUUAAAAGAUGCAACAAACUAAAAAGCUAUAUAUUAGCUACACCCUGAACUAAUGCCACAUCUAGCCUUUUGAGAAAAAAUUUUUCCAAUCUACGCCUUCUUCUUAAAAAAAUUCCCACCUAGCCUUUUUUUGAUGGAUUAGAAAAUAAAAAAGACUUAAGAGCAUUUAUAUGUUAAAUUUGUAGAGAGAAAAUUUUCUCUCUCUUUCCUCUCAAUUAAUUCUUAUAAUAUAAACAAUAAUUAAAAAUUAAUAUUUAAUAACAAUGAUAUUAUUAUUACUGAAUGAUAAUUUUAUUAUUUUAUUAUUAUUAUUACUAGUAUUUAGUAUAUGUGGUAAAGGGCUUGGUGGUUGGUACUUGAAGUUUUGAGUUUGAAUCAUAGUUGUAUUCACAUUUUCUUUGAUUCAUAUUCCCAGCUAAGUUUAUUUCUAAAAAAAAUAAAUGAAGAGGUAGCACCAUGCUAUCUUUCUGAGAAAAAAUUCUAGUCAAUAAUAUUUAUUAUUAUUAAAUAUUAAUUUUUAAUUAAUAUUAUUAUAACAAAAAUUAAUUAUUUUUAAAUAUUAGUAGGGUGGGAGGAGAGAGAGAAAAAAAUUUCUCUCUCCUAAUUAGCAUAUAAAUACUAUUAAAUUUAUCUUUUAUUUUCUAAUUAUCAAAAGAAGGCUAGGUUAGGAAUUUUUUUUAAAAGGAGGCUAGAUUGGGAAUUUUUUUUUCUAAUAAGGCUACACAUGGCAUUAGUUCUACCACCCUGGGGAAUAGGCAAUGAUCACGGGGAAUUGUAGUUGAACAGUUGAGAAUUUGAAAGGUUCUUUUUGGCUUCAAAGGAGCUGUUUAAUUUCUCAAAAAAGAAAAAAGAAAAAAAUUAAUUUAUUUUUUUAUGAAAAAUGUUCUUUUACAAUAUUUAUUUUCCAACAAAAAAAAUUCAGAAAACCAAACACCAACUACGUACAGGGAACAGUUCAAAUUUCAACACAUGAAUUAAAGAUGAAAAGGACUCUAUAUUAUGGUCAAUGGUUAUUAUUUAUUACUACUAGUUUCUGGUAGAGCAAGGAACUAGUAUUAAUUAUUUUGGCUCGUUUCUCGUGAAACUCUUUAUCUCUCAUCAAUUUCUCCAAGAUAAGAUUCUUGGAUAUUAGAGAUAAUAUCUACUAUACUCUUCAAAAUUUCUAAAAUAUCUUAUAUAUCUUCACUUUUUUUUUGUUUCAAAUAUAAUUUUACUGUUAGUAUCUGUUAAGUUAUCUCGAGUUAAACCCAAGUUAAUAUGCUUUUUUUGUCCCUAACUUAAAAAUAAAUAAGAAAAAUUAGUGACGGUAAAAGGUUAUAUUUGAAAAAAAAUCAAAAUACUUUUUUUUUAUUAAUUAAGGACAAAUGAGAAAAAUUAGUUACGGUAGAAGGAUAUAUAUUUGAAAGGUCGAAAUAGUAAUUUCAGAGAGAUAACAAUUAUUGCUAAUAGUUCACUAACAAAAUUUAAGUCUAAGAGCAUAUUUGAAAUAAUUUGAAACAUUAAAAAUGUAUUUUUAAUAUUAGCCUUUUAAGAGAGGUAAAUAGAAAAGUCAAAAAAGUUUUAGGAGUAUAUAAGCAAUUGUGCUAGAUAUUAAUUUAUAAAGAAAAAAAAUAAAUAUAUAAGAAUAAUUAUACAAUUAUAAGAUGAUCUUUAUAGUAUUAAAUAAAGAACAUACCCAAAUAGGCCGCAUAGAAAAGAUAGCACCAAAACCCUCCAUGUCAACUUUGGUCGGCUCUUCCUGCAAUUAUUAUAAUAAUAAUAUUAAUUAAUGGCAAAGUUGUUAAUAAGUGUGGAGUUUUAAUACAUGCAAAUAUUAAUUAGAGCCCCUUCAUGCAUGCAAAAUAAAACAUGCUUAUAUAUAUAAUAUAGAGUUACUCUUUUGAAAAAAGAAAAGCAUUUAAUAGUAACUACAAGAUCGAAAUAACAAAUGGGUACUUUUCUUCAAAAUGAUAAGAACCCUUUUUAAGGCCAUUUUAGCUCCACCAAUUAAGCAUAACAAAAGGCAAAAAGAAGAAGAAACAAAGAAAGAAAGGAAAAAAGCUUAUACACAGGAAAUUAAAAGGAAACACCUCCAACUCUUUUGUGAAAGCUAUAUAUAUAUAUAUGAGGUGGAGAGUGAAAGAAAAUGAAAACCAAGUACACACAAAUGUAGAAAAGAAAAAAGGGAAAAAAAAAAGGAGGAAAAGCAAUACAAAAAGUUGAUGAUGAUUUAUAAAAAAGAAAAAAAAAUGUUACAUGAAGCGAAAAUUAAAGGAAACCAAAAGAUUUAGGACAUGCAUGGGCCAUAUAUCUCAUUCUCUAUUCUACGCUUUAUAGUAAUCACAACACAUCAUACAAAACCAGCCAAACAUAUUUUUCUGUUUUAGAUAAAAUUAUAAUAAAAAUAUUUUUUUAAUAACAAUGAUAAAACAGAUAAAUCUAAGAAAAAUAAUCUAAUUGACCGGUGACGCCAGCAUUAUAGAUUUUUUUGUUUCUUUUGUACAUGAGACACCCAUGAAUCUCACUCUUUCACAAAAAUGAUUGGUGACGCCAGCAUUAUAGUUUUUUUGAGAGAGAGGGAGGAAGAGAACCCACAAAAGCAUUNUCUGUUUUAGAUAAAAUUAUAAUAAAAAUAUUUUUUUAAUAACAAUGAUAAAACAGAUAAAUCUAAGAAAAAUAAUCUAAUUGACCGGUGACGCCAGCAUUAUAGAUUUUUUUGUUUUUUUUGUAUAUGAGGCACCCAUGAAUCUCACUCUUUCACAAAAAUUCACUGCCCGUCAAAACCUCUUGAAAGAGAGAGAGAGAGGGAGGAAGAGAACCCACAAAAGCAUUAACCCAUUAAACUUCUCUCAUCAUACGAAUUAUAUCAAUUAAAAGUUCUCAUGAUAUCAAAACUACUCAUUAUAUCAAAACCUUCGAUCUCUUUUUGUUGAGAGAGAGAAAGAGAGAGAGAGAGCCCAUCAAAACAUUAAUUUAACCCAUAAGACUUCUCUCAUCAUAUCAAUCAUAUCAAAACCUUCUUUUUGUUUCUUCCUUUUUUUUAAAAAAAAUUUUCUGAGAGAGAGAAAACCCCUCAAAGCAUUUUAACCCAUAAAAUCUUCUCUCAUUAUAUCAAUUACCACUUAUUAUGUAUUACAUAUAUAUAUAUAUAUAUACAUAUACACACAAACAAGAAACAACAUCUUUAAGUAACAUAAUAAUAAUAAUAAUAAUAAUAAUGAUAAAGAAAUAUGUAUACAAAGUAUAUAAAGUAUAUAUAUAUAUAUAUAUACCUUUCGAAGAAGAAGGCAAGAGGGGCCAAAAAGGCAGUAGCAAAGAGAUAUCUGAAGGCAACAAGCACCCUCAGAUCCAUGCCAUCGUUUAUGGCCAGCUUGUAGAACACAUUCACCCCCGCAAACACCACCUGCACCACAACCAUCCCACUCGCAGGUUUCAUCCCCUCCACCACCCCACACAUCCCCUCAUGCUCCCCCCACAUCUCUAAUCUCUACUACGUACUCAAAUAAUAAUGAUAAUGGUAAUGGAAAAAUUAACAAGAAGCAAUAAUAAUAUCUAGUGUGUGUGCAUGUGUGUGUGAGAGAGAGAGGGAGAGAGGGAGGGAGGAGAAGCAAGAGAACCCUUUAAUUUGGGUUUUUCUUUUUGGUUUCGUUUUCUCUGUUUUGGGGUUGUAUUGUUUUGUGUCCUCACUUAGCUCGUGAUCGGUUAAUCUUAAGGCAUUAACAAGGGGCCUUAUUUAUAGGAGACCAAGGGGGGCUAGAGAGAGAGAGAGAGAGAGAGAGAGAGAGAGAGAGAGAGAGAGAGGGGAGCGAGUCGCUUGCAUGGUGGGUUUUGAAAGGGACAGUGUAGUCCUUAGAGAGAGAAAAAAAAAGAGAGAGAAGGGUAGAGAGGGAAACAAGAGAGAGAAAGAUGGGUAGAGAGAGAGAGAGAGAGAGAGAAACAAGAGAGAAGCUUCUUCUUGGCGCAAUACAAGCGGCGAGGGGGUGCAACAAGUGUUUUGUUUUUUUCGUUAAAAUUAUUGCGUGCACUUGGUGUAUGUGUAGGUGCACCUUUCUUAUAAUAUUUUAGGGUCUGUUUGGUUGCACGUAUUUAUACCUGCAUGUAUAUCUAAAUUCGACGUUUGUUUUAAUACAUUUGAAUUUAACUGCUACACUUGCAACUGCACGAGUCUCAACUGCAGAAAUUAAAACUACGCUCAAAUUGGGCACAGUUCUAACUGUAGCAUCCGAAAAAGAUAACUUUAAACAAAAAUAAAUUUACCUUCCUCAUAAUUUGUUAAAUAAUUAAUUUUUCUUUCCAACGUAAGAGUAAUCUCACCACAUCCUAUAUAAAAUGGUAUAAAUUUGUAAUUGUACUUUCAAUUGCAUACAAUAUAAAGGUUUCUACUACAUUCAACUAAACAAAAUGCAUAUAAUUAUAAUUGCUAUAUUUUCAACUGUAUGUACGUACUUCUAUUUAUACUGUAUUUAUAAUUAUGUUGAACCAGAUAACCCCUUAAUUACCAUAGAGAUCAUUAGAAAAUAACGAAGUUAUAAAUUAUUAUGUAAGUAUAUAUUUGAAAAAUAGAUUUAACAUCGGUAUCGAAUAUAUCCUCAUUUUAUAAAAAAGAGGGAUCAUUUUUUUUAGCUUUGUUUAAGUUAUUCGCCUGUAAGAGAAUCUCUUUUGAAAACUAAUUAAACUUGCCAUUAUAAAGAUGACACAUUGAAAAUAUGUAAAACGCAAUGGUAAUAAUGCUACGACACAAACGAUUCGCACAUCACAAAAAUUCUAACUAUUUAAUACUAAUUUUCUAAUAAAUUGAUUGUUGAUCUUUUUGUAUUAUUAAUUUUUGAAGCAAACUAACACCAGAUAAUUAAUUCUCAAUAUAUAUAUAUACUCUUUAGAAAUUGUACAUCAUAUAUAUUUUAAGUUUGAUUUUGAGAUACUAAUUUAAAAGCUUAGUUGAAGUGUAUGGAACGUAAGGAUACACCAGGUGCACGAAGUAACUUGUCCUGUUGUUGGGGGUGGUGGUCACGGCUCACGAGGGGGGCUGCUUCUGCGGCGUACGCACGCGUUGAAUGGAUGACACGUGGCGGCUCCACUGCGUCACCUGUUGCGAUUCCACGGAGCUUCGGGGUACACGUGGUUGGCCCCGUUGCGGAAAAGGGUUCGGAGGUUUUAUUUCCUGCACCGUGUGUACACAUCUUGUCUCAUGAACCACAUUCAAAAUUUAAUGAUAAAAUAUAUAUUAGAAAAUAAAAAUUAAGAUGAUAAUUUUAAUCUCGAAUGUGUGUAAAAAUAAAUAUUAAAAUUGUGCGAAAGUUUAAAUCAUUGAAAGUUUAUUGUGCGAAAGUUUCUUGUGGAUCGUAAUAGCUAACUAACUAUUUUAAAAGCAAUUGCUGAUAGAAAAGGUGUACUCAUCGCACUUAAGGGCUUAGCUACAGCGCUCGCGGGCUUCGACCUGACUCAACUCAUCUGAAUGUUGAGUCUAUUGUUUGGUCUCUUAUCGUUAGGUCUUUUAUAGACCGCACCUCUAUUCAACUUAGGCUUAGUUUGGUAUUGAGGCCUAUCAAAUGCUAUUAGAUAAAAUGGAGUUGAGGAAAAAGCAUAUAGGGAUAUAUUUCUGCGUUCUCCUCUGGGACCGUAGAAAAUAUAUCGUAACCGACUCAUCGCGAUAUGCGGAACGCAAUAUUACAUACGAAAACAAACAUGAUAUAUAUUUUUCUAACGUGCUUUCUCACCGCACGUAAUGCAAUCCCCCGCAAUCCCAAAUGAAGCCUUACUAGGCUUACCCAACUCAUCUUAUUAGUCUCCUGAGAGCUUAUUAUAAUGGAGCAGGAUGUUAAACCUAUUUUAACCCAAUAAUAAACAGCCAACAUUAAGUAGUCAUAUAAAUCAACACUAUGCAAUAAGAUAUUAUUAUUUUUUCUUAUAAAACUAAGAUGUCCAAAAUUUAGAAUUUUUAUACGUAUUAAAGUUCUUCAAUGUCACAGAGCUUGCAAAUAAAUAAAUUAUUUAAAGGUGGAACUUGAUUGCAAUUUAAAAUCGAGUAAAAAUAUUAUAAUAAAUUAAAAUUUGAGCAACAAAGCGUCACCCGUCUCAUAGUUUGAAUACCAAACGUGCAAUUUACUGUUUAAUUUACAUAUCCAACCUUCUACAAUUUUGACUUUGGCACUAUUCUUUUUAUUUAUUUGAUUUAAACAAUUUAAUAUUUUUUUUGAAAUAAAAUUUGGACUCAUUACUUUUCAAACUAUCUAUUGUAUAAACUAUGUAAAAUAUGCUAAUUAAGCUAGUAAAAAUGAAGGACAUAUAAAUAAAUUUAAAGUGUAAUAGUCAUUAAAUAGAUUAAAUCAAAGGAGUUAAUUAAAUUAAGUAAAAAAAUUGAUUAGGUAGCAAAAAAUUCAAUUUUAAAAGUUAGGUAUUGGACCAAAAUGAGGUAAUUAAGUUGCAUGUUUUUUUUACAGCUAAAUUAAAUUAGAACUUCGAGAUCUUUAUAAACAUAGAUUUGGGUGGGGUGUGGUGCACGAUGGACUGGGUGCAUGAAACAAUCUACAAUUCAGCAAAACAUGGGAAUGGACCCAAUUUGAGUGGCCUUUUCCUUUUUAAUUUUUUCUUUUUUUUUUUUUUUUUGAACAAAAGUGGGUGCUUAAAUUUGUACGAAAACAAGUUGGUCAUUUAUCUUAGUAUGUGAAAUAGAAAAUAAUAGGAUUAAUUUUAUACAGGUUGCUAUAAAUAUAGUGAAUUGUAAAUUUUUUUCUACGAGUUCAACUUUCGUAUGUUGUUUCUAUAAAAAUUUUAAUAUUUUCAAAUAUGUCCCUUUAAUUUGUUACCGUUAGAAUACUAUUUAUUUUAUAAAUGAAAUAACUUUUUUGAUAUCACAAAUAUUUCCCUCCAAAAAUUGCAACUAUUAAUUAAAGAAAGAUAAAAAUGUCAAUUCAUCUCAUUAACUAACUAGGGUUAAGUAUUUUAUCUAUACGUAACUAAUUUUUUCUAACGAAUUCUAACGACAGUAACAUAUUUGAAAAUAUCAGAACUUUUGCGGAGACAACAUAUGAAAGUUGAAGUACUUUAUAGGGAUAUAUUUAUAAUUUACUAUAUUUGUAGAGAGCUAUAUGAAAUUAACCCAAAAUAAUAUUACACCUUUUGAGUUUUUGUUUUUAUUUUUUGGAUGAAAAGUGGUAGGCAAUGCAUUAUUUUCAUUUGUUUAAAGGUGCUUUUUAGUUUUAAGGCACCAUGUGCACCAUAAAAGAUUGUCAAAUUUUUAGCCACUUUUUUUUCCUGUUGUUAGAUACUUUGCAAGUACAAAUUUAUAUAUAAACAAUUUUGAGUCUUUGUUUGUUUUUUUUGUGGUGAAAAAGUGUUAGGUAAAGUAUUAUUUUUAUUUUCUUUAAAGGUGCUUUUUUUUGGUAGCUAAUUAAGGAGGAUUUUAAGGUACCAUAUGCAAUAUAAAAGAUUGUCACAUUGCAAAAAUAUGGCUCAAACACAUUUUUAAAUAAGCGUAGUUACAAGAUCACUUAAGUCACUCACAUUUUAGUUAUUGUUUUUAUUUUUCAGUAUAGCAUUAAGUAAACUAAGAAUUUAUAACUCUUUUCUUUUAAUAAUGAAAAGUUAAAAUGAGAUUUUGAGCACAUAAAAGUAAAAAAAUCUAUUUGAUAUUUUUAGCCUCAGUUUUUUUGUUGUUAGAAUUUUGCGAGUGCAAAUUUAUAAAAACAAUUUUGAGUUUUUUGCUUUUUUUUGGAAUGUUUUUGGUGAAAAGUUGGUAGGGAUUGUCACAUUAAUUGCCAAAAUAUGGGUUGUAAAUUGUAGUUACAAGAUCACUUAAAUCACCCACAUUUUAAUAAGGGGCAAUUGCUUAUAUACCCCUAAAAAGUUUUCGAUUUUCUUAUUUACCCCUCUUAGAAGGGUAAUAUUGAAAAUAUCCUUCUUGUUCUUUCUAAUAUAUUCCUAGAGUUAAAUUUCGUUAGUGAGGUGUAAACAGUUGCCGUUAUCUCUGAAAAAUUAUCAUUUUGCCCAUUCCAAUAUACCCUUGUACCGUAACUAGCUUUUCUUAUAUACCCUUCAUAUAGCAAAUACUUUUCUUAUUUGCCCUUCAAAUAUCAAUUAAUUAAUUAAGCAAGUCGGGAGCGAGCAGAUGAAUGGAUGAGAUCGAUCGUAGCUAAACCAACCUUGAUGGCCGGAGGUAUAGUUAGUUAAUUCGGAUUCGGCAAAAAUUCCGUACGGAUAUAAUUCGAAUAAAAUUCAUCUUUUAAUUUUUAAAUUCGUUGAAAAAUACGGCUAAAAAACGGAUUCGGCAAUUAUUCGGAUAUAUGAUUUAUACAAAUAUUAUACGUUCACCAAUUAAAAAUUCGAGAUCAAAAAUUCGGCUAUUUAAUAAAUAUAUAAUAAUUAAUAUACUAUAUAUAUUAUUAUUAUAAUUUUUAUAUAUAGAUUAAAUAUAUUUAAAAUUAUAAUAAACAUAUAUUAAUAAUAUAUAAGAGUUAUAUAUUUAAAAAUAUUAAUAAAUAAUUACAAAUUUAUAAAUAAAAUAUUAUAUAAUGAGAGGGAAUAUAUAUAUGAAUAUAUGAAUAUAUUAAAAAUAAAAUACUAUAUGAAUAUAUAUUACAAAUUUAUUAAAAAUAAAAUACUAUAUGAAUAUAUAUUUUAUAUAUAUAAUGAGAGCGUGGACCUCCCUCUCAUCCGGUCCACGAGGCCAAACUGGCAUCGUGGACCGCGCACACCCGCUGCUCCCCUCCGCGCCUCUUGCUCCCGGCAAGCGGACGGCCUCGGGUGGACGGCACGCGGACGGCCUCGGGCGAGACGGGAUCGUCACUGCGACCUUCUUGCUCCCAGCACCGGCCAAGGUGGCGGAGGAGGAGGAGGAGGAGGACAACGACGAGAGUGGUGACUCGCGGGCCGUUUUCUUUGGGCGAAUCAUUCGCGAAUUGCGGCGGGCAGCGGGCUAUGGCGGCGGGCGACGGGGACCCACGUGCUCUUCACGUGGAUCGAGCAGUCGACGACGACGAUGACGACCCCGCCAGCCCGAGCCUCGUGCCGCUGAGGAUGCCCGGUGCGUCGAACAUUGGGACGGGCUUCCUCAUGUAGGAGAUGGCGGCGGCGGGUCCGCUAGGGAGCUAUGGCUGGGGCUGCCAGAAUUGGAUGCCGGAGGUGGCGGUGCCGGGCUUGAGGGUAAUGAGGCCAAGUUGGGAGAGAAAGAAAGGAUAACUUUAGAAAAUAGUUUAAUAAGGUACGGGCAAAAUAGGUAUUUUAAUUAGGUUUUAACUCUGGUAUACAUUUAACCCAUGUUUAAUGCGAGUUAGUUUAACAGGGGAUAACUGCGGGGUUAUUUUGGAAUAACGGUAGAACAUAUGAGGGGUAUUUUAGAAAGAAAAAAAAAAGUAGGAGUAAAUCGGAUAUUUUCAAACGUAUGAGGAGUAUAUAGCCAAAUAUCUCUUUUAAUAAUUAUUGUUAAUGUUUAGUAUAGCAUUAAUUAAAUAAACUAAGAAUUCACAACUCUUCUUUUUAAUAAUGGAAAGUUAAAAUGAGAUUCUGAGCACAUGAAAGUAAAAGUCUUUUUCAAAUUUUUAGCGUCAAUUUUUUUUUUUUUUUUUUGGUUAGAUGUUUUGUGAGUACAAAUUUAUAAAAGUAAUUUUAAGCCUUUUGUUUUUUUUUGAAUGUUUUUGGUGAAAGAGUGGUAGGCAAAGGGUUAUUUUCAUUUGUUUAAAGAUGCUUUUUUUUUUGUUUCAGCUAAAGAGAAUUUUAAGGCACCAUGUGCACCAUAAAAGAUUGUCACAUUGAAAAAUAUGGAUUGACACAUUUUAAAUUGUAGUUACAAGAUCACUUUAAGUCACUCACUUUAAUAACUAUUAUAAUUUCUAGUAUAGCAUUAAGCAAACUAAGAAAUCAAAACUAUUUCUUUACCAUGGAAAGUUAAAGUGAGAUUCUGAGCAAACGAAAGUAAUGAUCGACAUAGAUAUCACUCAUGUAUAUAAAUACUAGUGAUAUACCUGCGCGUUGUUAUGGGAUUAAAAUUGCUUAAUGUAAUAUGGAACUAAAUGAUUUUGAUCCUUUUGGUUUGAUAAAAAUAUGAUGGCAAUCGCUCAAUUUUUGGUCAUUUUAAAGUAACUUUUUUUUUUAUUAUUAUUAAGAUUGCAUAAAUUUCUAUUUUUUAAUUAAUUAUUUUUAUUAGUUUGAUAAUUCAGUUCAUUGGCUAUAACUGAUUAAUGUUAUUAAAUUUAAGGACAUAACUAUUGGAUUUUACUUAUAAAAUUUACGGUAAUUUUUUUAAAAUUUUUUUAACUAAAAUUGCAUUGUAAAUAUAAAUUUAGAAAACAUUUAUAAGAAAAAUGAAGUUGAGGGCCAUUUCAAAGUGACCUACAACUAAAAGAAUCUUUCAUACAUUUCUAUUUUUUUAUUUUUUUUUUUGAGAGAUAGGUAGCAUGCUACCCGCUUUAUUUAUUUCAUUUAGAAAUAAACUUCUUUCCAUAUAAAGUGAAAAUUGUUGACAAAUGUUUAAUAAAAUUGAAUGGAAAGAAGAAAAAUUAGACCAUAAUAUAACAAAUAUAGCAACUAUCUUAAAAUUCUCUGAAUUUUUGACACGAAAUCUAAUUGAAUGUAUGUUCUUAUUAACAAACUUUUGUUUGGGUAGCUGCACAACUUUAAACUCUAAUACUUUAAUCUUUAAUCUUCUUAAUUUAUACUCAAUUUUAUUGUCCAAAAAAAAAAAGUUAACGUAUGUGACACCCCAAUAGUCUCACAUCGGAUGGGAAUGGGGUUGUCAUUGGGUUUAUAAGAGACUUAGACACUAAUAAUAAUAAUUGAGCUUAAGCAUUUUGGGCCGGUGGUUGGGCUCAACGAGUUAUUGUUGCUAGUGGGCUGAGUCGUUACAUUUGCUAUUAGAGCCGGUUCACUAGCUAGACAUGUGGGACGAGUCUCGGCUGAGCCAGGGCCUGGAUGACGGGCUAGCGAGACGAGUCUUACAUCGCCUGGUGAUCUUGGGCUGUGUGUGUGAUUGGACUGACGAGGACGUCAGGACCUUAAUGGGGGGAGUCUGUCACACCCCAAUAGUCUCACAUCGGAUGGGAAUGUGGUUGUCAUUGAGUUUAUAAGAGACUUAGACACUAGUAAUAAUAACUGUGUUUAAGCAUUUUGGGCCGGUGGUUGGGCCCAACGAGUUAUUGUUGCUAGUGGGCUGGGUCGUUACAACGUAAAAUUUGUACAAUAUCACUUGAAGAAAAAAAAAAUCACUUUUAUGAUUUUUGAAUAUUUAAUAUAUAUACAAUAACGUAUAUAAAAAAUAAUAUAUUUAUAAAAUAUAAAAAAUUAAAAUAUUAUAUAAAAUAAUAUUAUAAUCGUAUUAUUUUAUAAAAUACUUCAAUAGUAAUGUAUAAAAAAUACUUCAAAAUAAUAUAAAUAAAUAAUUAAAGAUGAUAUAUUUUACAACAUUAUAUAUAUAAUUUAUUUAUUACAUUAUAUAGUAUUUUAUUUUAUAUAAUAUGAUAUAUUAUAGAAUAACAUAUAAUAUAAAUUUAUAAAAAUAAUAAAGAUAAAUAUAAUAUAAUAUAAUAUAACAUAAUAGUAACACUAGUAGUUGUUGCAGUACUCAUAAUAAUAAUAAGAAGAAGAAGAUAUUUUAAUGUUAUAUUCUUAUUAUAUUGUUAUUAUAAGAUAUUUUAAUAUAUCUAAAAAUAAUAUAUAUAGUAUAAACAUAAUUUUUUUUAUCACUGUACAACAAUUACUAAGAUAGUAUAGUAUGAGAAUAGUUUUAUUCCUCUUAGAAGAUGGAAUAGUUGUUUCUAAAUUAUUUUUGAAUUGUCUAGAAUUAUUCAGUUUGACCAGAAUAGCUAUUGUUAUUUUUUUUACACUAUUUGGGGGAAUAACAAGAAUAAUUUUUGUUGUCUUUGGUUUAUUUCAAAAACCAAAAAGAGCCUUAAAUAAUGCACCUUUCUUGAAUCCUUCAUUAUGCUUUUUCAGUGGCCAGUGUUUGAUCCCUCUUUAUCAUCCCUUAUACUUUAGGAUGACAUGCAGCAAAGAAGAAAUUAUGAAGAAGAUAAGAUACUUGGUCUAGGCAUGCAUGUAGCUGUUUGGCCACUAUAAGAAAAAGAAAAGCAAAAAUAGGAGAAGAUUCUAUUUCUUUCUCCUUUCAUAUAUGUCACAAAAUGAAAAAGUAUGUGACAAAUUGCCAUGUCGUACUACUUAGAGGUGUCAAUGAGCUUAACACGAGCGAGUUAGGGCCGGCUCGUGUUCGCCUCGUUUAAUAAACAAAUCAAACAUGAGCCGGUUAGUUAAGUAUUGAAUCGAAAAAUUCAGCUCGCGUUCGACACGUUAAUAAAUGAGCCGAACACAAGUAGGGAUGUCAAUGGAUACGGAUAUUCGAAAUUUUAUCCGAACCCGAAUCCGAACGGAGCAGAUUUAUCCGAUGCUAAACAGAUAUGGUUUCGGAUAUGGAUAUCAAAAAUAAAAAUUUGAUGGAUAUGGAUUCGGAUAUAGAUUUUGACUGCACUCGACCCGAAUCCGAACCCGACGCAAACCCGAAUUUAUUUUACAUUAUAUAUAAUAUGUAUAUAAAAAUUUGAUGUUAUAUUUGAAUAUGUAUUUUAAAAAUUUAAAUUUAAUGUAAUAUUUUUUGAAAUAUUGAAAAGAGAAAUAAUUGUUUCGGGUUCGGAUUUUCGGAUUCGGGUUCGGGUUUGGAUAUAGAUUUUUAAAAUUCGUCAGGUUCAGGUUCGGAUUCAGGUUUCGGGUUUGGCGUCGGGUUCGAAUUUGGGUUUCGAAAAAUCCGCCCCGAAUUAGACCUGUUGGCAUCCCUAAACACGAAUUAGGUCACGAGCUGGACAACAAACAAUAAGUUAAAUAGAUUAGAUUGGAUAUAUAUAAAAAAUAAAUGUAUAAAAUCUUACCUAUUAAACUUUGAUCUAAUCGUUGAAGCUUUACAUAUAAAUGUGUCUUUUUAUAAUUGAGCUCGGCUUUUUUUUUUUUGCUAAAAAUCAAAUAAUAAAUAUAUAUACAUAUAUGAUCCACUACAACAAAAACGGUCUAUAGCAACACUUUUAAAUGUUGGUAUAGAUCAAAAAAAGUGUUGCUGGCUAAAUUACUGACACUUUUAAAAAAUAUUGUUAUAUGUGGGGUUGCUAGGUAUAUAGCGACAGUUAAAGAGUGUCGCUAUAACCUAAAAACGUGGUGCUAAUUUAGCAACACUUAUUUAAGCAUCUAGUAACCACCGAAACUCUAUCUCGUUGGCUGCGGUGGCGAAGGAGGACGAGAGGGAAGGGCCCUUCGUCUAGGAUUUUAGUGGAUUGUGUAAGGGGAGAAGGGGAGAUGCUAAUCGAUUUUUCUUUUUUUUUUUUCCUUUUUGUUUGGAAUCGAGCCAAAUAGGCUGGGUUCGGUGGGUUGAGUAUAGAAAUCUUUUAUUUUUUGUUGGAUUCGGCUUUAUAUUUAGACAUUAGUAGAUACUUUUUUAAAUUUUGACAUAAAUGAGAUACUUAGACAAAAGUGUCCUAAACAUGUGUCUCUAUAACCUAAUUCUGUUGUAGUGUGAAAUUAAAAAUAAAAAAGUUUCUCCUUUUAAGUACAAAAUUAACUAAUGAUGCAUUGGGUAGUGUUGUUCGUAUCACUAAUGUCCAAAUAGAAUUACAAUGGUAUCACAAAAUAGGCAUUACGAGAAGCUUUUUGUUCAUUUUUUUAAAUGAAAGAGCCAAUCUUUUCUGUGUCUUCAAGCCAAUUUUGGUGGAUUUUUUUUUUUUUUUUUGUUAGCUUGUUUCAUUACUAUAUGUUUUUGAGAUAUAUAAAAAUGCUAGCUAAUCUAAUAGUUCCCUGCAAAUAUCUUCGUAAAUGUUACAUCUAAUUUUACCAUCUUCUUAUUCAGGAAAUCAUUCGGAAAAAGUAGAGUCAUCGAUCGAUCAAUGGGAAUGAACAAUUUCCUUGACAAUUUCAUUGGAAAAUUGGUGUAUCAAGCUAUACUCAGGAGAGAUUAGCAUUUAAUAUAUACGUUGCUUUCUCUUUCAGAGUUUUUCUCAUCCUUCACAGAUGAUUGUUGUUUCGUGUGUGAAAAAGCUUUAUGUACACAACGAAUCUGGACACCCUACUGAGAGUGAGAGUGCUUCCGCUCAAGCCUGAGGCGUCAUAUAAUGGCAACACAUUGUCUAUCUAUGGCAAAUAGCCGAAUUAAUUUAAUUUAAAGAGUUCUCUAACAUGUACUAAAGACUCAAAGUAAGAUAUAAUUGAUGUGAGACCCCAGAUAGUCCUAUAUAUAAGAUAUAAUAGGGCUAAACUCUUAACCCGACUUAAGUAUUUUGGGUGGUGGCUAGACCCAAGAGAUUAAAAGAGUUAAGCGUGUUAGGACGGAAGUAGUUCUAGAAUGGAUGAUCUCCUGGGAAGUCGGGGCGUCACAAUUGAUGUCCUAGCUAGCUAGCUAGGUGGAUAUUGUUUUGUGAAGAAGAAGGAGAAGAAGCUCAUUUGAGAAGGUGAUUAAUUGGGAUCUUGAUUCUUUUGCUCUUUGCUCAAUUUAGAACGUUUUAAUCUUGCAUCAAAUAAAUGACAAUGAUGCCACCCUAAUCAAGCUAAGAAGAAGUUCAAAGAGAGAGUUGGUUGGCCCUCAGUGCAGAAAUUAAUGUUGGCCAUCAAUCAAUUUGGGUUUUUUUUUUUCGUUAUUACUUUUUUCGAAAAUAUUAUAAUUUGUCAAAUAAUUCUGUUAAAAAUUUAUUUGGCAAAAUAAUUCUAUUUGUCUAACUCGGCGUCAAGCUAUGAAUGAUUCACCGUUUAGAAAGAAAACGGUGAAUCAUUCACAGCUUCUUUCUUAGUAAGAAUUUUCUAUAAUAAUUAUCCCGUACAUACAAUCCUAACAAUUAUACAAAAAUCUCUGCAACCUAUAUACAAUUUUAACAACUCUAUAAAAAUCCUAAUAAUCCAUAAAAAGGUCCACAAAUAAUAGGAAAAAUUCAUUGUUUUCUAAAAACGGAUAAAAUAGUAAAUGAUUCACGGUUUUCAAUGAACACGGUUUUUCACUUCUCUCUGUUUUAGUACUGAGUUUGAUAAAAUAGGAUUAAUUUGCCAAUUAAAAUCGUGAUAGAAUUAUUUAACAAAUUAUAAUUUUAAAAAAGUCCAUCAUUUUUUUUCCAAUUAACAUAUAGCUUUUUUUAUGAAUUGCUUAGUAAUUAAUCAUUAAUUUGAGAGGAUGCCCUAUGAGAAUACCAAUUUCAUUUUGUUGUUGUUGUUGUUGUUUUUUUUUUUUUUUUUUUUUUUUUGAGAGAAAUAGGUAGCACGCUACCCGCUUCGUUUAUUUCAUUUAGAAAUAAACUUAGCUGGAAAUGUGAAUCAACUAGGAUUCGAACUUGGGUCUCGGGUACAAACCUCUAAGCCCUUUGCCACUUGCUCUAGGGACAGUCGGUAAUUUCAUUUUGUUGUUAUGUGGAUGGAUUUGAGAGAAUGCCUUUUGAGAACACUUUCAUUUUAUUUAGCACUUAUUUUUAGAGGGCUUUUGCUUAAAUACCCCUCGCUACUAUUCAAAAUUUUUAAAUUUACACCUCCAUCUUCAAAAUGUCCUUCUAAAUUUUAAAUUUUAUUGGUAAAAUCUAGGAUUAGGACUAUAUUUGAAGGAAUUUUUAAAACUUAGUACCGUCUUCUGUAGUGUUGACUGCUGUGGUGCUAAGUUGGCAAGAAGGGAUAUUAUAAUUUAUUUUUAUAUGGAUGAAUUUUAUUUAGUCAAUUAAAAAAUAACAAUAAAGCCAAAAAGACCAAGCUUUUGAAUCGAAAGCGAAACGUGAAACAUAUAUAUGUAUGUACAUACACAUUAUUUGAUCAUGUGAUUCACGUCACAUAGUAAUCACCACUCAUUAAAAUCCAAGGACUUUAUAUAUGUUGAGCCAAUUAGGCGCAGACAUGUGGUAGACCGGAAUCGCUUUCAAAGGCAUUAAUCUGACCGUGCACUAGGAGCACCAAAAAAGUAAAGAAGAAAACCGUCGCGCCAAUAGGAAGUUACAGCAACCGCAAGCAGUUGCGAGCGGUUCGAUCGGCUGAAGGUGGUCCGAGAUUUUAGGAGGUAGUGGCCGAUCAUGUAAUAACUGAAUCAGGGGCGAUUCUAUAAAUAGAUCAAUGAUACUUUGAAAAAAAGGUCUUCGCCCCUGCGCACAAAAGACCAUAUUUAUUUUCCUGCAAUCUUUCUUCCUCGCAUUUACCGCUUUUUCGUAGGAGUAGUUCUUAUAACUUAGAUAUUUGGAGUCUGUCUGCCCUCUGGGCAUCACUCCUUUGUAGAAUACACUUGGAGUCUGUCUGCCCCACGGGCAUCACUCCUCUAUUAUUGUAUUUUUUUUCAUUUUUCAUUCAAUAGAAAGUCACGUUCGGCUAUUCAGGCCGACCAGAUUUCGUGUUGUGCUAGCCAUUCGGCUCAUCUCCCAGCUUAACUUCCGACUUUCCUCGCAUAUUCGGCUCAUCCAGCCGAACCGGAGAGUAAAAAGAGUUUUCGAACCCGGUUGACCCGAUCCCUCGUCAGCCGAAUCACUUGAUCUGUCGAAGGGCGCAAACUUCGAGGGUCACUAUUUGCAGCCGUUUCACAUCCCGACGCGCUCCCAGAGGAGGAUCGUUGACUAGGUCCAGGGUCGGAGAAUUUCGGCACCAACAAUAUAUAUCAAAUAAUGUUUGAUACUAUGCAGAUAACUAAGAAUUACUAUGUAUAUAAAGUCAAUAAAUGUUUGAUACUAUGCAGAUAACUAAGAAUUACUAUAUAUAUAUAUAUAAAAUUUGGGCAAUUGCUUAUAUAUCUCUGAAAGUUUUCGAUUUUUUGAUUUACCCCUCUUAGAAGGCUAAUAUUGAAAAUAUCGGAUAUUACGUUCCAACUUAUUUCAAAUAUACUCAUAGAGUUAAAUUUUGUUAAUGAACUGUUAGCUGUUAUCUGUAUAAAAUUACUAUUUUAUCCUUUCAAAUACUCUUUCACCAUCACCGACUUUUCUUAUUUGUUCUUAAGUUAAGGAUACAAAAAGUAUUUUAAUUUUUGAUUUUUUCAAAUAUAUCUUUCUAUCAUCACCAAUAUUUCUUAUUUGCCUUUAAGUUAAGGGCAAAAAAAAUAUUUUGAUUUUUUUUUAAAACUCUAGUAGAUAUUUAACUUACGUUUAACCCAAAUUAAUUUAACGGAUAGUAACUGUAAGAGUAUUUUGGAAUAACGGAGGAACAUAUGAGGGAUACAUUCGAAAGAAAAAAGAAAAAGAAUAAAUGAGAUAUUUUUGAAGUUUUGAAAAUUAUCUAGGCAAUUAUUCCUUAUAAAAUUUGCAUGCUAACAAAAACGGUGUAAGCUUUUUAAAAUUUCGUACACACCAUGCAUUUUUUUCCCUAAAAAUAUUCAUUCCCUAAAAAUAUUCAUGGGCCAAGUCGGAUCUGGAUAGUUAAUUUAUUAUAUUCAUACCCUAAAAAAAAAUAGGUAGGAAAAAAAAAAAUCCUACCUGUUCAACUUGGGCAGGUUCAGAUUAUUAAUGUACUUAUCAGGUCAAGAUAGUGACUGCGUAUGCUAUUCACUUAAGAUCAGAUACAGAUCAAAUGCGGAUCGGGUUUAAAUCGAAUAUGGAUAUUCGUAUGCAUAUCAAUGGCAUAAAGCACAAUAUUUAUUACAUAAUAAGUUAAAAACAAAAUUACAAAAUUUAUAAUAGUUAAAAAUAUAUAUUUAUUAUUCUAAAAAAUAUACAACCACCAUUGUAGCCACAUACAGCGAUAUAAUAAUUAAAAAAUACUUUUACCUAUUUAUCUCCUACUACUAGUCAAAAUUUUCAAAUAUAUCAUAAAAUUAUCAAAAUAUCCUUGUAGAUCCCAAUUCCUAUUAGUAACCCUAGGGAUUUGGGAGUAUUGAAAGGAAUUUUAAAAAUUAAUAAUGGUAUUUUGGUCAAUCAAGGAUAUAUUAGAUAUUUUUAAAAUUUUAAAGGGUAUAUUAAAAAUUAUCCCUAAAAAACUUAUAUUUAUAAGUCCAAAAAUAUACAACAUAAUUGCAUACAACGCAUACAACUAAGUCACAUAAUAUAUACCAUAAGUCCAAAUAAGUGAAACACAUGCACCAAUUAUUAUAUAAUAUAAUUAAAACAUAUACGCAAUAAAUCCGAAAUAUUAUAGUGAAAAGAUAAGUAACAAUUUUUUUUUUUUAAAUCUUUGCUUUAAAUUUUGAUGAUUGAAUAUUUCAUCGGGUUUGGAUCUGAUUCUGGAUAUGGAAACUAUUUUGGACCCUACGAAUAAAGAAUCGGAUCCGGAUCGGGUCCGGUUCGAGUAUGGCUAUAAGAUAUUCAGACCUAGACCAGACCUGAAAACUCAAUAAUGAGUAACUAUCCAAUUUUAAUCAGGUCCAAAUCGGAUUGGGAUUGGCAAUGAAUAUUCUUUACAUCUUUAUGGUUUGAUCAUGUCAUUCAUAUGUCAAAUAGUGACCACUACGGCGCGUCAACAUCCAUGGAGUUUAUGUCACUAUAUUAGUAAUGUUCGACACUAAGCAGUUGAUUAAGAAUAUAUACGGUUCAGCUGUGAUGCUUUUAAUAGUAUCAAGUAUUUGGUGCUAUUAAAUUUUUUACCGUUAAAUUUAUCUUUUUAAUCAUUUUCAUUCGUUAAAUCAUAUUAUUUAACCAACCACCAUUUAACUCUAGAGAAUCACUAUUAUUCUAACCGUACAUUCCUUCAUUCAAAAGUCGAAAAUCUAAUAUCAUCAAUAUUUUGGUGCUAUUAGAAAUACGACAGCUUAACUCUCUCUCUCUCUCUCUCUCUAUUUAUUAGUCUAUAUUUGCAUACUUUCAAAUGUUGUGUAACUUUUUUAAAAUUUUGAAUAUACGAUGAAUUUUUUUCCACCUGUCACUAACACUGACUUUUUAAAAGAAAGAAGAACAAAGAUGAAUGAAAAAAGAUAGAACAGUUUUCUUUUAAAACAAAAAAAAAAAGUUGGCUAUUUGGAAAAGAAAAAAAACGUUUAUUAAAAAACCCUAAAAUAGGCCUUCCUAUAGAGGUCUUCACCUAAACCUGUCAAAAAAAAAACAACUUUAAAAUUAUCUCACAAUUUUAAUCAAUUGGAAAAGGUUUAGAAUUUCGACCUAAUUUAGAAUAACUAAAGAAGCAACAUUAAUUAGCUUUUCAAUAAUAAUAAUAAUAAUAAUAAUAAUAAUAAUAAUAAUAAAAUAUAAUAAUUAUCUAAAACUAUAAAUUUUGGUUCAAACCUAGGCCAAAAUGACGAAACUAUUCAACACAAAGCACGAAGAGUUGUUUUCGGAUUGGGAGUUGUGUGCUGAAAAGAGAUAUAUGUGCAUAAAAGUGAUGCUCUUAGGAUUUAAAAUAGUUAUGUAAAUAUAAAGUAGAAUAUGACAAAUCUUUUAAUCCGAUUAUAAUAUUUGGGACGGUGGUUAGAUUCAAGAAGUUAAGAGUGUUAAGCGUGUCAGGACUAGAGUAGCUUUGAGAUGUUUGACCCCACUGGAAAGCGAGGCACUAUAAUUGGUAUCAGAGAAAAUCACUAUCUGGAAGUGUAAAAUGAGUAUUGGUUGAGCCAGAGUUAUAGAACAGGCAGAGCUCAACUCCACGGCUGAUGAUCAUUGUCGGUGGAGUGCGGUUCCCUUCAAAGUCGACUGAGGUAAGCAAGAUGAGUUUCACAUCACCUAAUAAGAGAUUAGGAGGGCUAAAUAUGUUAGGAUUAGAAUAGUUUUAAAAUAUAUGGGUGACCACUCAGAAAGCGUGGAUGAAUUUCGCAUCGUUUGACAAAAUGUCAAGAGGGUUAAACGUGUUAGGAUCAGAAUAGUUCUAAUUAAAAUGAGUGACCCUCUGAAAAACAAGAUGUCAGCUGCUGAUGACCAAUUAUAGACGAAGUGCGAUGAGUUUCACCUCGCUUGACACGAUAUUAAAAAAUUUACACGUGCUAGAACUAGAACAGUAAAUUUUCUGGAAAGUGGGGCAUGUACAAUAAAGUUAUGAUCCACAGACCUGAGCAGGUGGAACUUUAGUUGGAUUUCUUUCGAGCACGCAGACGAGGCUCGGCCCCGUCCACUUUUGCCACGCGGGCGAAUGCUAAAUUGGCCACAGCACUUUUCACUGGUAAGUUCCCAUCUCCAAAAUAAUUCAUGUUCUCUCUGUUGAAUCUACAUAGUCGUUUUGGGAAAUGAUGCACGUUGUGAAUUGUGAUCCAUAUGAUCAAUAAGGUACUAGAUCGAUGUGUCUCUUUUUUACAGGCUUAACUUUAAUAAGGCAAAGGAUUCGAUUGGUACGUGGUACAUAAUUUGGUUCUGCUUUGUGGUGUUCUCACUCUUAACCCUUCUCUCUCUCUCUUUUCUUUUCUUUUUUUUCUUUUUUCUUCUUUUUUUUUUUUUUUUGGCUCUUAAAGAUUAAAAGUUGUACUCAAUUGCGCGGAAACUGUUAUCACAACGUGGCCAGACCCUACACAGACAUCCACUUUCGUAGUGUUUAAGUAGGGCAAAAGAUGCAUAAAAGAUGGUCCUUGUACUACUCCUUAUCGCAAUAUGGUCCCUACUCUUUUUCAUAAAAAAAAUCUAAUUUUUCUUAUAUAACUAGUGCAGAGGCCCGCGCGAUGCAGCGGGUAGAUAAUAGAAGUAAAAUUUAAAAAUUUUAAUAAAUUUUAUAUUUACGAUUUAUUGAUAUAUAGAAAGCUAUAACAUAUUAAGUACAGUUAAUUUGUAUGACUAAAUUUACAUAGUAAGCAGAGGCCCCCGCGCGGACCGACUCAGCGAGCACUUAUAUAGGUCGCGGCUCGGCUUCGCGGGACGAUGCUUCUUGAAGGAGACAAUGUUCUUCAGAGGCUCUUCUUCUUAUUCUUCUUCUUCUUCUUUGUUAACACAACGAGAGAAAGAGAGAGAUGAGUGCGGAGUAGGAGAUUAGACGAUAAUAUUUUUUUAUGGUGCAUGUAAAAGAGUUACAAAAGAGAGGGGGUAGGAGAUUAAUUAAUGGAGGAGGGGAGUGGUGCAUGUAAAAGAAUUACAAAAGAGAGGGAGUGGGAGAUUAAUGGAGGAGGAAAGUGGUUAAAGUUAUAAAAUAGAAUCUUAAUAUGGUGCAUGUAAUUAAAUAUUGCAUGUAAUUAGAGUAGUGGUAAGGUGAGUUAGGCGUUAAGAAAAGAAGAAGGUGAUUUGAUUUAAAGUUGGAUUUAAAGUUACAUAUAAUUAAAUGUUGUAACUUACAUAUAAUUAGAGGAGUGGGGAGGUGAAGAAUUGAGAGUUGAAAAGAGGAGAAGGUGGUUUGAUUUAAAGUUGGCUAUGAGAAGUAAGAAUAACAUGUCACGUGGCAAAAAGUAUUGUGGCUUCAUAUAGGUUUAUAGAUGAUUAUUAUGUAUAUAUCUGAAUCCGACUAUGGUGUUUCCAGAAGUAUAAAAGAAUUGAUGCUUUCAAGUUUUUUAACCUUUGGAUCAAUACCACUCAACCUUACUGGAAGCCCCUAUCAUGCCAACCAUACAGUUCUUGAUCAAGGUCUAAAAAAUCGAAAGCGCCAAUUUCUUUAUGUUUCUGGAAGAAUGAUAGCUCUACACUAAUCUUUAUCUGUAUAUUAUCUAGUACUGCAUGGAGGGCUCUUUGGUUGUGGACACAUGCCCUUUUUGCAUAUUCCAUACACUGGGUAAAUUGUGGACCGAGAUCUCCCUCUAGCGACCAAACCUUGUCCUAAAACUCCACUUGUCUCGUUGCUUAUCUGCAUGUCAAUUCUCUUUUUGAAAGUAAAGAGGAUUUAACAUCAUCGAGAUAUAGAGUAUUUUGUCCAAACAAGAAGAUCUCACGAAAAUUCUUAUAAGAGGGCGGUAGAGAACAUAAUAAUAAAAGGACUUCAUCUUCCUCCUCGAUUUUGACAUCUAUCGAGCGGAGAUCCAUAAUAAUAGAAUUAAAUUCAUUUAAAUGCGAUUUAGUAGAGGUACUUUCCGCCAUGCGCAACAUGAAGAGACGUUGCUUCAAAUAUAACUUGUUGGUGAGAGACUUCGUCAUGUAGAGAGACUUCAAUUUAUGUCAAAGUCUUGCAGCGGUCUUUUCAUCCAAGACCUCGCACAAUACCUCAUCGAAUAGAUAUAAUUAUAUUACCGUAAGAACUUUGUCAUCAAUCUCCUCCUUCUGCUCCGCCGUCAAAGAAUCGGGCAUCCUUUCUUUUCCCAACAGUGCCUUCUACAAUUCCUGUUGCGUUAAUACAGCACGCAUCUUGACUUGCCAUAAUGCGAAACUGUUGGUCUUGUCAAAUUUCUGAAUCUCGAACUUUGUCGUCAUCUUAAUCUUCAAAGGGAAUAGAAGGCUCAGAUACCAGUUUGUUAAAAUCGGAAUAGUAAAAAAUAGAUUUAGAAAAUAAUUUAAUGCAGGAAAUGAAAAGAAAAGAGGAAAUGGCACAUCGAUAUUUACGUGGUUCGGCCAACGGCCUAUGUGCACGGACGAAAACAGAGCAAAUAAUUUAUUAAUGUCGAAAAUGCGGAGUACAAAGAUCUCUCUCUCAAAUUAAGAUUCCAAAUAAAGUAUUUGAUUGACGCGCAUAUGCAUAUAGCAUCUCCAAUUAGCACGUCCGUAUAAUGAGAUACUUCGGCUCGGCUCACCAUAUACAAGGUAUGGCACCUUCGUUGACUUAAUUAAUUGAGCAUCAAUAAGGCUUCGUUUAGAAUUGCGGGGAGAUUGCAUUACGUGCGGUGAAAAAAUACGUUAGAAAAAUAUCCUGUUUGUUUCCGUACGUAAUAUUGCGUUCCGCAAAUCGCGAUGAGUCAGUUACGAUGUAUUUUUUGCGGUCCCACCGGAGAACGUAAAAGUAUGUCCCUAUAUGCUUUUUUUACUCAACUCCAUUUUAUCUAAUAGCAUUUGAUAGGCCUCAAUACCAAACUAAGCCUAAGUCUCCUCAGCCGAGCACCCAACAGCACCGAAACACCAACAGAACCGAACGCUAAUUAAUUAGAGGAUUGCUUGGCGUUCUGAUCCCAGCUCCUCAAUGCUCUGCUCUAUAUAUAAUAUAUAUUAGAGCCUUAAUUAGAGUCGGAUAAUGCCAAAUUAAUUUGAGUCUGACUCAAAUUAAUAUUGCCGUGACCAAUGGCGGGUUGCCAACUCAUUAUAUAUACCGGAUCUCAAUUCUAAUCUAUUUCAACUUAAGCUUGCUUCAUAUAUUUCAAAUUUAAAUCUUAUCUUAUCAUAAUUAGAUUAGAGUAUAAUUUCAAUUUAGGUAGCUACAAAUCUAAACCAAAUUAUAACAUACGCUUACUACUAUUCAAAAUUUUUAAAUUUAUUCUAAAAUUAUCAAACUAUCCUUCUAAAACCUAAAUCCAUUAGUAAACGCUAAAAAAAGGGAUAUUUGAAGAAAUUUUUUAAAAUUGAUAAAGAAAUUUUGAUCCUCCCUGGAUCAAUAAGAUAUUUUGAAGUUUUAAAAGCAUAUUAGAUAUUAUCCCUAAAUGAAGGGGCUGUUGCAAAGUGCGGGCCCUUCGCUAAUAUCUCACUUCCCACGGAGGUCAUCGACGUCCUCGUCAAGCUCAAUCACGCAGAACCAAAAGAUUUUAAUACCAAACUAUAACAUUUCAGUUUAUAACAAGGAAUCUCACUUCCCAGAGAGGUCGCCGACAUCUUCAUCGCGCUCUAUCACACAGAUUGCCAAAUGAUGUGAGACCACGUUUCACACUUUUGCUCUAUCACACAAAUGGCCAGGUGAUUUGAGAUCUCGUUUCACACUUAUUCUCUAUCACAUGGAGUGGAAACAUCACAUGGACGUCGUUUCACACUUAUUUUAUAUUUUCGGCUGGUCAUUUCACACUUACUGGUCAUCCAUCCUCAAGCCAAUAGCUCUAUUAACUAAAUAUUCUAAAUCCAAAAACUUAUUGAGCUCGAUCAAUCCACUGACCCGAAAUAGUACAGCGCAAUUAUUAAGUCUAGAAAUACCAACCCUUAUAUACCCAUACUAUAUAGAUUUGCCAUCCAAUAUGGGAUUAAACUUGGGGUGUCACAUAUAAUAAGUAAUUCACUCAAUUUAAUUCAAACCUGGUUAUAUAUCAUUAUAUGAUAUAGUUCUCACAGGGUUAGAACUGAAGAAGUACAAAGAUGAACGGGAGAGAUAGAAGAGUUCUCUUUUAAGAUAAAAAUCAGUGAUAAAAAACUUGUUGGUGAAAACUCAAAAAUUUAAAAUUUGAAUUUUAUUCUAUUUAAAUUUUGAAUUAUCAUUUAAUAUUCAUUGAUAUUUAUUAUCUUAUUUAUUUAUUUAUUUAAUUUCUUAGUGAGAAAGGAACUAACGGGAUAUUUCCGUUCCGUUUUUUGCACCAAAAGGAACUCGUUCCGUUGUGCGGUUCCACUUCUUUCUCGUAAGAAAAAGAGCGUGAAUUCUCUUUUCCUUUCUUCGAUACUUUGAUCUCCUUUUUUCCUCCUCAUUGAAAAAUGAGAUUUAGAUAAUUUUGUUAAUCUUUAUCUAUUCAUCUCUUAUCUUUUACUAUUUGAAUAUUCUUCUUAUCUACUGGGUGUUGAGAAUCUCCGUCAACCUCCUUCACGAUCGUGCUCGCAGAAUGAGGAAUUACCGGCUCGUACGCUUCCGGAUAAAAUCAAUCUUUAUUGAAAUAUUUGGUUUUAUCUGUAAGUUGAUUUAUUUAUUGUUAUCACAAUUUACUUAGAUCAUAUCACAAUCAGAUUCUUUGUGGUAUUUGCUCCACAAUCUAAGGCGAAAUCCCUAUCUGGAUAAUGAUUAAAUCUGACGGUGCUUAUCUAUAUAAAUAGUAUACAUAUAUAUUUUUGCAUAUAAUUCUGUUGACAACUUGCUUGUAUGCUUGUCAUUCAAAUUUAAAUAAUAUGGGAUUAACAUUUUUAAUUUCUAAUGGAAUAUGUUUAUCUGUAAUAUUAAUCUUUUUCUUAUUGUUAUUAUUUUUACCGUACGGAUUUCAAAGGGUGGAUUUUUUUGCUACAGUAAAUAACAUUUUAUUUAUGUGCGGUUUGAGUUUUGCUAUUAGAAAAUUCCUUUAAAAAAAAAAAGGAAUUUGCUACAGUAAAUUUUUUAAAGUGUACGGUUUUUUUAUAUAAAUUGUUACAGUAAUUAUUUCAGCUUUUCCUGUGUGUACGGGUUUACUCUUGCUAUAGUAAAACCCAUUGCUAAUUAAAAUAAAAAUAUGUUUCUUAUAAGAUUAAUUAUUUUAUUAUUUGAUUAUUAAUUAUUAAUAAUUUAAUAUAUUUAUCCAUAAACUAAUAUUUAUAUUGAUCAACCAUUAAUAUUUCUAUUAAUCUAAUUAAUUUUUUUACUAGUUAUCUAGCUAAAAUAAUUUACUAACUAAUUAAAAAGUUAAAUUAUUUUUUAUAAUUAAUUAAUUAAUUAAUAUAUUUUUAUUAUCUUAUAUAAUAUCCGUAGCUAAUAAGUUUAUUAAUUUAUUAAAUUAUUUUUAAGUAAUAUUUUGAUGUUAAUUAAUUAGAUAAAAUAAUUUUAAUUUCAAAUUACAACUCUUAUUUUCCUUGUUCCAAUCUAACCAUCCAAACACUAUUUAUUUUAUUCCUAGAAACAAUCCAAUUAUUAUUCAAACGUAAAAUUAAUCUAGUUGCUGCUUAUAUUUAAACUUGUACCUAUCUUGGAAUAAACAAUUUUUACUUAUACCGGAACUAAAUGCAGCCUUAAAAGUACCAAGUCAUUAAUGCUCGUAAGUUUUUGACAUUUGGAUGAAGAUUUGUAGAGUUAAUGGUCCCAUAUAGAAUUGAGUGAAUGGUUGGUGGAAUAGUAUAAUCUAAGGGGUAGAAUUGGUCAAAGAUAUAGAUCGAUCUAACAGUAAAAAAUUUACAAGUAUUAAGUGUUUGGUACUUUUAAAAGCACCGUAACUAGACUAUAUAUAUAGUCCAACUAUAGUGCUUUUAGAAAUAUCAAGGUAUUGAAGUUAUAACAUUUUGGUCAUUAAAUCAAUCAUUGCGGCUUGGAUCAUCCCUAAUGGUAGGCCCUAUAAGUAAUCACCAUUGUUGGCUUUUGAGUCUAUAGCUAAAAGGUUAAAUCUAAGGGCGAAAAAACUAUAAACAUCAAAGCCAGCCUUUUACAUGCAUUCCAGCUCAAUGUGUGUGCGCGCGUGCGUGUGUGUUGUGUGUUGUGCGUGUGCGUGUCUAAUUGCGCACGCGUGCGUGUGCGUGUUUGCGCGCACGUGUGCGUGUACGUACGUGCGUGUGCACGCGCACGCGCAUGUGCGCCUGCAUGUGUGCACACGCGCAUGCGCGCGCGCGCGUGUGUAAAACUGUAAGCAUCGAGGCCAUCCUUUUAGAUGCAUUCUAACUUAAUUCUGUUAUAUGUAUUUGUGUGUGUUACAUAUUUUUAAUUUGGGUCGGUCGACAAAUUUUUUUAAUCGAAAAAAAUUUUGAUUUCUUUUUUUCUUACAUAAAACAAAUAACAAAAUAAUUAAAGCUUUUAAUUUCUUUUUUUUUUUCUAAAAGAUUAUCUUUUCUUUUUCACUAAAUAUUUAUGUAUCAUUCCAUACCUUUCCAUUUUAGCUAAAUAUUUUCUGAUCAUCUCAAUAUAUAAACAUCAUGGAUUAAUUUUUUUCAAUUCACGAUCGGAGUUGUUGUCUUGGUCUAGGUAACGACAAAAUUUUAUAUAAAAAGUUUAACUAAUUCCGAUUCUUAUAAACCAUUAAAUUAGGAAAUGCUUUAUACAUAUCGUUAAUAUCGUCAAUUUUCAAGCCUUCCGACUCGUAGGGCAUAUGAUAUCAAGAAAGAAUGAAAUUCGUUUUUUAGAAUGUUUAAAUAUUUUAAAUUAUAUUUAACAGUAUAAAUCACAUAUUCAAAAGUUCUAUCAUUGAAAGCGACUCAUAAGUAUGAAAGUGAUAGUGCAUAUUCAUAAUAAUAUAGUAGCUGGACUCAUAUAGAGGAGACCAUAGUGCUUUUAAAAGCACCAAAUGGUGCUUGUAAAUUUUUCACCGUUAGAUCUCUACUCCUUUGAUCAUUUCGAACUGUUAGAUCAUACUGUUCAACCAAUCACUUAUUCAACCUUUGGAAAUCAUUAUUAUCCUAACCGUACAUCUCUUAAUACAAGAGCCGAAAACCUAUAAACACCAAUAACUUGGUACUUUUAAAAGUAUAGGAGCUCAAUUCUAUAAAUGCUAUUAAUAUAUAUUUUUGUACAGAUGUGACUUUUAUAUAAACACGAUGAAAGUAAUGAAGAGAUGGCUUCAAAAUUGUCUAGCAGCUAAAAACUACUUAUAAUGCUUUGGGAUUUAUAAGUCAGUUUGAAAGAGCAAGUAGGUCCAAAGAAAAGAUUGUUACAGUAUAAAAAUAAUUAAGUUUUUAUUACUAAUACAAUAGAUAUAUAAAAAUUUAGUCAUGAAAAUUGUCAUAUAAGUAUUGAUCAUAUUCAAAAUGCAUGUUUUACAGAUAAGAAAAACAUGCAAGUGUCAUAUUUAAUACGCAUGUUUUGCCAAUAACAAAACAUGCUCUAUCCACGUCAGGAUCUCAGAGUUAAAAUUGGAGUAUUCGACCAUAAUGAGAAAAGUGGUAGCGCAAUUUGGAAACAAGUUUGACACUGUGAUCUUGCCCAUCAAAAUUGAACAAGAAUAACAAGAAAUAGAUCGAAAAUUGUUUGGCUAAUCAUCACCUUCAAAUUUGGGAGACAAUGAAGUUUCUCUUUCGGAGGUUCCUUUUUUCUCAAUAUAUGAUGAUCAUGAUGCUGAGUAGCUGAUGCACUAAAUACCCGUGCAGCAUCUUCCUGUGAAAGAUGACUAACUAAAGCAUCAAUGGACCACUUAAUUUGUUAGCAACCCAUAUUAAUAUAUCCACAUGUACAUGUUUUUGAUGGUAAUAUGUACGAUUUCCACAUGCAUGACAACUUGGUUUUUUACCUAAAAUCCGUAUUUACAUAUUGCGCUCUUAUUCUCUCAUCAUUGAACGAAAGAGAUUAAGUAUAAAAUGAUGCGACCGAUUUAGCAUUGGACUAUGAUGUGAAGGUGGAUCAAACCAAGGCGGGUCGAAAAAAAUCGAAUUGAGAUCAGGUCGGCGCAAAUUGGACUAGUUUAGGUGUAGAUUUAACUUUUUCUUUUAGCUUAAACAGCUAUAAGUUUGUACAUAUGUAGCCGAUCGGGAAAAACUCUUCGAAAAUUGCCAUAAUGUGCCUCUUCGAAGAGUUGUUUUCGGAUUUGCGGUUUUAGCUCCUGAAUUUAUUUGUGAUGUUUUGUAAGAGAGUUUUGUUGGAACAAAUACCGCAAAGAAAUCUGAUUGUGAUUAAUGAUCUAAGUAAAUUUGUGAUAACAAUAAAUAAAUCAACUUACAGAUAAACGCAAAUAUUCCAAUAAAGAUUUGAUCUUAUCCGGAAGCGUGCGAGGCACUGCCCUAAGGCGUAUUCCCGUCCUUACGUGCGGAAUUAAUCAGAAAUAACACCCCAAGGUACGACUGGAAUUUCUCAUUCUGCGAGCACGAUCGUGAAGGAGGUUGACGGAGAUUCUCAACACCCAGUAGAUAAGAAGAAUAUUCAAAUAGUAAAAAAUAAGAGAUGAAUAGAUAAAGAUUAAUAAAAUUAUCUAAAUCUCAUUUUUCAAUGAGGAAAAAAGGAGAUCAAAGUAUCGAAGAAAGGAAAAGAGAAUUCACGCACUUUUUCUUACGAGAAAGAAGCGGAACCGCACAACGGAACGAGUUCCUUUUGGCGCAAGAAACGGAACGGAAAUAUCCCGUUAGUUCCUUUCUCACUAAGAAAUUAAAUAAAUAAAUAAAUAAGAUAAUAAAUAUCAAUGAAUAUUAAAUGAUAAUUCAAAAUUCAAAUAGAAUAAAAUUCAAACUUUAAAUUUUUGAGUUUUCACCAACAAUCCCCCACAAAACUCAAAAAUUUUAAAAUUACAAAUUAAAAUCAAAUUUACUGGGUGUUUUAUACUAUGCAAUGGGUGAGAUGUCUUUAAGAGACUUAACCCCACUUAGUGUAAGUGAUUUCCAUCAGAAGAAAUCGGAGUGAACCAGGUCUUGAACUAUGUUCCUUUGACCCUGAUUCAAUACCACACAUACGUUACAAAUUCUCCGUCGGCGGGUUCCUGUGCGUAAUGGCCAACUGGCACAGUACCCUUGAUUUUUCAUAAGAGUUUCUAUGGAUAGCCCCAAUCACUAUAGCCGCGGCACAUACGAUACUUCUUAUAUAAGGUGGUUUCACCUCCAGGGUAUGUGUUAGAAUCACAUCUCGCGAAGAAUAUCGCUACUGGAUUUUGUCCCCAUUAAGAGCUCUCAGCUCAACCUACAUCCACUACACAGAGCACACUGCCGCAUGAGAAUGGGAUUUGGAGCUAAAGCUCCUUUGAUAAAAUUUGUAGAAAGUGCUCGUGGCCAACUGCCAGCUGUUUUAACAGCAUUGAACUCCUUCUUCAAGGGAUCCUCCUAUCACAAAGAUUGGGUUCCCACUGCACGGAAGGCCCUUACGAAGCAAAGUCGCAUCCCUCUCGAUGACUGGCAGGACUAUAGCCCUCUUAGGCCUUUCAAUCUGGUAAUCUGCACAGAUCUAGACGUCAAACUGACAAAACUCAAAUAAAACAUAUGAUAGAUAAUUAACAUCUAACAGAUUUCGUAGUCUCAAUUAUAUCUCACAAAUGUUAACUUAGAAUUUAUAAUUUUUCUUCUACAAGUUAAACACAAUGAUAGACAAAUAGAAAAAUGAGAGCAAUAUAUAUAUCAAAAUUUAUCAAAGCUGCUAAAAGCUUCCCACAAUUCACGAGAUACUACUAAAAUUUAAAAAUCAUAAAUUUAAUCAUGUUGAAAUAGAGUUUGAUCUCAACAGCAAACAGAUGGACCAAACAAAUUUCUUUUUUUAAAAAUUGAUUUCAAUAGGUAAUUCUCGAGCAAAUACAUAUGCCAAUCAAAAUAAUAGUCUAAUGCAGCAAAUAGGAUUUUAAAAAUAUGCUUGAAAUUAUGAAAAAUAAAAAUUAGCAAAUAGUGUUGCUGGUUAGAUACAUGAAAUGCAAAUCUCCGCGUUGGAACAAAAAUAUUGUAUCCUUCACCUUUUUUUUUUACCCGGAAAAAUAGUAUAUCUAUAUGUCUAAAAUUAGUUUUAAAAUAUAUACUUAAAAAUAAGUUUAAUAAUCUAAACAGUGGAAAAGGAAAUGUACUGUAGUCAUUUUUUUUUUAGAAAAAAUAUUAUUUACUGCGGCAAAUCAUUUUUUUAUUGAAAUCUGUACAAACUAGACAUAAAACAUCCUCAUUGUAUUAUUAUAUAUUUUUAAUCCGUACAAAAGUAGUUAAACAAAAAUAUUAUUUAAGCAAUAAAUAAUGAUUUAAAUAUAUUAAUUAGGUUAAUUCAUGAUUUAAUACCAUAAUUAAAAGUAAGUUUAGACUUUAAUUAACCUUGUUCUUACCUGGAAACAAGCUUGUUCCAGAAAAAAAAAAAAAGAAAAAAGGGUGGAACAUCAGUUCCAGCCUUAUACCAGCUUAUUCCAGGAAGCCGAGAACUACUCUUUUCGGAUAACAAAUACGGUGUUUGAGAACAAAGGGGGGAACAAGAGCUUAUUCCCUCUUAUUUCCGAACUAAACACUACUUAAAAAAGUAUAGGAGUUCAACUUUAUAUACAUACAUAUAUAUAUAAAAAACUAGACUAUUAUACUUUUAACAGCACUACAGCAAAUCUUACACUUAAGGAUACUUUAAUAACUAGCGACAGUUUAAAGCAUCGGUCAACAAUAAUCCCGACGCUUGUAAAAGCAUCAAGCAGAGAGUCUAUCAUACCCCGAGUUUGCAGCGAAAGACUACGGGGUGCUAACAAAUCCGCCGAACAGACAUAGUCGUUAAGUAAAUACAAGGCUCCAUUCUACAAGGCUCCAUUCUUUUGUUUUCUCGCAAAAUCUGUAAAACAAGUCUCAAAUGCUACUCGUGCUCAAAAUCACUUCGAGAGUAGAUUAGGAUGUCGGCGAUAAAGACUACCACGAAUUGAUCCAAGAAUGGCUUAAACAACCUGUUCAUCAAAUCCAUAAAUGUAGCGGGGGCAUUCGUCAAUCCAAAUGGCAUCACAGUGAAUUCAUAGUGCCCAUAAUGCGUCCUGAAGGUUGUCUUCGAUACAUCUUCUGCCGUGAUUUUUAAUUGAUGACAUCCAGAUUGGAGGUCAAUCUUGGGGAAGACGCAGGCCCCUUGCAACUGAUCAAAUUAAAAAGUCAUCGAUCCACGACAACGGGUACUUAUUCUUGAUGGUCACUUUAUUCUGCUCCCUGUAGUCUACACACAUACGAAGUGAACCAUUAUUUUUCUUCACAAGUAAUAUCGAUGCUCCCCAGGGUGACAUACUCGGUAGCACAAAUCCUUUAUCCAUCAGAUCCAACAGCUGAGACUUUCACUCUCGUAGCUCCGCUGGUGCCAUCCUGUAAAGUGCUUUUGAGAUUGGCACGGUUCCUAGUACCAUGUCAAUCACGAACUCUAUCUUCCAAUCCGGCGGCAAACCCGGUAGCUCUAGCGAAAAGACAUCAGAAAACUCUCGAACUACAGAAAUAUCCUCGAGCCUCGGUACCAUUGCAAGCACUUCCACCACAGUCGCCAAAAAGGCCACAUACUCACUACUCAUCCUCUGUCUCGCCCGAGAAGUGGAGGUUGUCAUGGCAAAAAGAGUAUUCUAAUAACCCUUGUACACGAAUUCCUCCUGUCUUGGCUCGUGAAAAACUACAGUCCUCGCUCCGCAAUCAAUAGUUGCAUAAUAGCGGGUGAGCCAGUCCAUCCCCAAGACAACAUCAAAAUUUCGUAACUGCCUCAAGACCAAGAGUUCAGCGGGCAUAAUCCAGUGUUCUAACUGAACUGGGCAAGAUCGACAACACCCAUCUGCAAGCAAUGUAUUCUCAGGGAUCUGCACCUCACGGGGAUAUGCCAAUGACUCAAACUAAAACCCAUGCAAUAGAGCGAAUGCGAGACCCACAAAAGAAUAUGAUACACCAGUGUCAAACAAUGUACAAGCCCUAGUACCAAAAAUGACGUGAAGAAGGUAAACUUGCUUAUUGUUAUCAAUUACCACUUUUUCCUCAUUUUUGCUCAUUUAGACGUGAAGAAGUGUGAGUUUUGGCUUCGGAAGGUAGCUUUUCUGGCCAUGUGAUUUCAGCAACUGGUAUUGCCGUUGACUCGAAGAAGAUUGAGGCUAUUAGGGAUUAGCCCAGACCGAUAACGGUUACGGAGGUACGGAGUUUUCUUGGACUUGUCGGCUACUACUGUUGUUUUGUGGAGAGUUUUGCGAAGUUUUUUGCUCCCCUCACACAAUUGACUCGGAAGGGAAUAAAGUUUGUAUGGAGUGAGGAGUGUCAAAGGAGCUUCGAGGAACUGAAGACUAGAUUAAUGACGGCUCCGAUUCUUGCUCUCCCGGUAAUGGGGGAAGGAUUUGUAAUAUAUAUUGAUGCCUCGCGCAGUAAAUUAGGUUGCAUAUUGAUGCAGCAUGAUAGAGUAAUUACUUCUGCCUCAUAACAACUAAAGGAAUAUGAGAAGAAUUAUCCUACCUAUGAUUUGAAGCUUGUUGCGGUGGUGUUUGCGUUGAAGAUGUGACGUCAUUACUAAUAUGGUGAGCAUUGUGAAAUUUACACAGAUCACAAGAGUUUCAAGUACUUAUUCAUUCAAAAGGAGUUGAAUUUGAGGCAACGCUGUUGGCUUGAGUUGUUGAAGGAUUAUGACGUGACUAUUUUCUAUAACCCUGGAAAGGCCAACGUGGUUGCAAAUGCCUUGAGCCGCAAAUCUGUGAAGAAUUUGAGUUUGAUGAUCACCUAACAGGCGCCACUAUUGGAGAAGAUGCAGCGACUAUAGCUUGAAGUUGUAGCCCUAGGGAUCUCUGCCAGACUUAUGUCCUUGGUCUUACAACCCGUCCUGAUAGAUAAGAUUAGGGGGAAACCCUUACCUGACAAGGAUGGGAAUAGCUUUGAAUUCUUUGAUUCCACAAUCGAUUAUGUGUACCUAGGAAUGCAGCACUCCGUGAGGAGAUUUUGAUGGAGGCGCAUAGCUCCCCUUACGCAGUUCAUCCUGGAGGAAUGAAAAUGUACAGGGAUUGAAGACAAAUUAUUGGUGGCCAGGGAUGAAAAGGGCUAUUGGGAGAUUUAUGGCGCAGUGUUUGACUUGUUAACAAGUAAAAGCAGAGUAUCGGCUUUCUGCUAGCAAGUUUCAAAAUCUCACAAUCCCUGUCUGAAAGUGGGAUAUAAUUACGAUGGACUUUGUGUUGGGAUAGCCACAUUCACACGGCGAACAUGAUGCUAUUUGGGUAAUAAUUGAUAGAUUGAUGAAAUUUGCACACUUUACCCCAGUUCAUAGUACUUGGCCCAGAGAGAGACUCGCUCAAAUAUAUAUUAAUGAGAUAGUGAGGCUACAUGGUGUGCCGACCUCGAUUGUAUCCGAUAGGGACCCGAGAUUCAUUUCACCCUUUUGGAGGAGUUUACAGACAGGUUUGGAGACUCAACUCUAUUUUAGCAUUGCGUUUCACCCACAGACUGAUGGCUAGUUUGAGAGGAUGAUACAGAUACUUGAGAACAUGAGGGCUUGUGUUUUUUACUUUGGAGGCGGAUGGUAUCGACACUUGGCAUUGGCGGAGUUUGCAUAUAACAAUCACAUCAAUUUUGUGCCAAAACAGUUUCACCUUAUUCCAACCUCGCACUCGCACGCUAACCGGCAACCUACACCAUAGCACAAGUAACAAAAACACCGUAUUCUACAGAGUCAUUAAGUAAAUAUAUCGGGAUAAAUAUACCGACACUUUAAUAUAGCGUCAGAAAAGUUUUAUCAGUAUUUGAUAAAAAUAUGUUUAUUGGCGACGUUUAUCAUGAUAUCGGCACAUGCCAAACAUUAAAAAUGUUAAAAUAGAGUGUCGUCUAAAAAGUAUAGUCUGAAAUAUAUUUUGUUGUAGUGGCACCAAGUCAUUGGUGCUAUUAGGUUUUCAGCUCUUAGAUAAAGUGAUGUUCGGUUAGAAUGAUAGUGGUCUCAUAGAAAUGAGUAGGUGGUUGGAUGAAUAGUAUGAUCUAAUGGGUAGAAAUGAUUAAAAGAAUAGAUCUAAUUGAAGAGUAUAGUAGCCUUAGCCUAUAUAUAUACAUAUAUGUCUGUAUGUAUGUAUAUAUAGAGUUGAGCUAGUAUUUUAUUAUAGCAUAUGAAUAGUAUCUAUUAUUAGCUUUUUCACCUUUGGAUUAUUACUAUUCCACCAACCGAGGGAUCUAACAGUCACAAAAUUCAUAGAAAUAUUAUUUUCAUACCAUCAAUAGUAUGCGAGAUCCACUUUAUAUAUGUGUACAAAAAAAAAAAAGAGAGAGAGUUUGGCUUGUGUAUUGUGAAAGUAUGGAGGAUUAAUGUUUUUUCAAAUUAUUUUCGAUGGUGAGACUUUUGAUUCGAUACUCUAUUAGACUUAAUUGAGAAAAUCUAAAGUGUUUGGAAAAUAAAUUUUGCGAUAUUUCAAUGCCAUUGUCCUAAUAAUUAAAAGGUCUAAAAAGCAAUAGCUGAAAAUAAAAAUUUUACAAAAAGUAAUGAUACAACACCAAAAUUUUAAAUCAAAGAUAUUGAUAUUAUUUUGUAUAGUAUAAAAAAAAAAAUCUCUAUUAAAUUUCAUGUGACUUUGAAGUGUUUGCAUUGUUAAACUUACAAACAACUUACCUCAACCUUCAAAAUUGUUGAUUUUGACCUCCUACAAUCACUUGGUAAAUAAUAUCAAAAAAUUAAUAAAUUUAUUUUUAAACAUUUCAAAUAUUCUAAAUCAAGUUUAAUAAAAUGAAUCAUCGAUUCAAAAUUUUCAUCAUAAAAAAUAAUUUAAAAAUAUAGAGACCUUCGUACUUUCAAAAGUCCCAUCAUCUUCAACUAUAUAUAAGCUCUUUAUUUGUGUCAUAAGUUUAUUUAUUCCUCAACUAUGAGCUGUUUUAACAAUAGGUUUCCUAAUUUAAACUAUUUUUUAAAACUUAUUUAUUUUAUAGUUAUUUUAAGUUAAAGAUUUUUCUGUUAAGAAUGUUCUAUCACAAACCCUAAGGCCCCUUUUGGUUCGGGGGAUAAGCGGAGGUAACGAAAGUUAUCCCCGCUAUUCUGCCAAACGGAAUGAUAUUUUACCGGAAUAUUUUAUCUCGGUCAAACCUUACUAUUCCUAGUUAUCCCAAAAUAGCAAACGAUUUGCUAUUCCACCAUUUUGAUGGAAUAGUGUUAUUCCAAUAUUUAAUUUCAAACUUAAUUAAAAUUAUAAAUUGAAUUAAAAUUAAAUUACACAAAUAUAAGAUACUAUAUGUUAUAAUACAUUAUUUUUAUUAUAAAAUUAUUAAUUAUACUAUAUUAAUAUAUAUUAUUUAUAUUUAAAUAUUAUAAUAAAUUUUAUAAUAAAUUAUAUUUAAAUAUUAUAAAAAUUUGUUUUAUUAAAUAUAAGUUUAAGUAGAAUUUUUUAAAAAAUUAUAAAUUUAUUANUAAAAAUUUAUAAUUUAUAAUUUGUAAUCUCAAAAUUAAAUUUUAUAAUUUUAAAUUUUAAAUUUAUAUUUUGAUAUUUUAAAUUAAUUUUAAAAAUUUAUAAUUUGUAAUCUCAAAAUUAAAGUUUAUAAUUUUAAAAUUUAAAUUUAUAUUUUGAUAUUUUAAAUUUUUGAAAUUUAAAAUUUGAUAUUUGUAUUUUUCAAAUUUAAAUUUGAACUUAAAUUUAAAGUUUGAAAUUUAAAAUUUAAAAUUUAAAAUUUUGAAUUUAAAAUUUGAGAUCUUAAAUUUUAAUUUUUAAUUUCAAAAUUUGAAAUUAAAAUUUUAAAAUUUUAAAUUAAAAUUUAAAAAUUUAAAAAUUUAAAUUCAAAUAUAAUAAGAGGAUACUAUCAUUUUUUUUUAUUUAUAAAAUCUCAAUAUCCUUCUUAUUCCAUCUUACCUAACCAAACGCUAUCUUUUUUAUUCACAGGAAUAAUUCAAUUUUCAUCCAAACGCAAAAUUGAUUUAAUUCCCGCUUAUACCUCGAUUUAUAUUUAUUCCUGGAAUAACCAUUUUUUGCUUAUCCCCGAACCAAACAAUACCGGGGAACCAAACGAUACCUAAUUGUUUCAGUUUCAGUUGUUAAAAAAUUAAUUAAACUAUUAAAUU